rnacentral:lncRNA from 1 species
UUCAUCAAAAUUUGCUUUAAUUUGAUAACUUAGGAUCAAUAAAGCAUUAAAUGCCACUGAAAUGGGCAUGAUAUUUCCCCUAUAAGACUCUAUCUUAUUGGGAAAGGACCCCCUAAUCAUUUUAAUUUUGAGAAACUGGAAUAUCAAUAUAACUCAAGGUCCCAAUCUGUAUGAGGAACCAUGUAAAAAGUUAUAUGGUAAGCAUUUUAGUCAAAUUCUUGUGCAAAUCUGCUGCCAUUUGGGGAUUAACUACAAGAAGAUAAUACUAUAAUGCAAACCAUAAGACUAGAAAGGAUGAGGAUUUGAAAUAUAUUGUAUUACUCCCACAUGCUCCUGGAGAACAACAAAGAAGUUUACACAUGUUUAAAAGACAGAAUUUGACUGCCUUUGGGUGGGGGGAUGAUAUUUGGACCAAUGGUUCUAGGGAGUUCAUGAUAUCAUCACUUGUCUGCUUCAUAAAUUUAUAUGUUUCUGCUCAUGAAGCAGCUUCAGGAUUUGAGAAGGUUUGCUUUCACCACAAGAUGUGAGUUGAUUCCGUGGAUUAUCAGUGGUAGCCUCUUCUUCAUCCCAACUCAGUGAGUUCUGCAAUGAGGAUGCUUUGGAUAUGAUCAUAUCUAAAUUCUUUUAUCUUGGCUCGGUAAGCUGGGAAAUGAGGAUGGUUCGGAUGGCUUGGAUGACUGAUUCAUGUACACUCACACACUUAAGUGGGAAGUGAGAUAAAGGAAGGCGUUUUCACUGCAGGGGAUUGUGAUACCUCCCAUGGAAUGAUCAUAUCCGAAUUCUUCUUCAGCUUGACUCAACAAAUCCAGGAAUAAAGGCUCAUUCAAAUAUGAUAUUGGAAUCACAAAUCGCUUCUUCUGGCUCUCCCCAACAUAGACUGCAAAGUAGCCUUUUGGGAUAUCUAAGGUCUUUGAAUCUGCUGUCUGGCUUGAACUAGAUAGAGAUCGAAUGAGACUUCUCUUUGCAUUAACAAUUGCAGGCAACCGGAAACCCAUGGUCUUAUACAUGCUCAAAGUACAAAAGAAGAAGAAAGGAAUUCAAAGGACCUGAAUUUGGAAAGCAGAGAAAGCUAUGCUUGAGAAGGUGAAGACUUGAGUUGCUCAUGAUGAACUUGGUCAUGUGUAUAUAUAGAUCAAGAGUAUCCAGAAAAUCAACAGCUACAUGAAACAAUUGGUGAAGAGGCACUGAGAUGGGCUCCAAUGAGGGACACUUGAUUGUGAGAAAUCACAUGGGUUUGUCGUCCGUCUAACGCAAUUUGUCCCCAAAAGAUUUCUCCCGGAACUCUUCCUUACCUGCUCUAGGUAACAGACAACAAAAGGACCACCAGAGAUGAUUCAAUCCAAAAGAAUUAUGUCUGUUAGGUAAGUAGCAUUUAUGCUUGAGACAUGCACUUCUCUUUGUUCACACUAAUUCAACUGACCACAUAAUCGGACUAGUUUACUACAAAUUUUCUUGAUUAGGUCUGCUAAUGAAUUGCCCUCUCACUUCAUCAAAAGACCAACAACACUGCAUAUGUCGUGGUCCUACCCAACACUGAUACAAUUGUGUUGUGUGGGAGCAGCAAUGCACCCUAUCAUGUGGCUUUGUAGUUUCGUCUCUGAUCUUCAGUCUCAGCAAACAAAGGAGGUAUUUAUUUCAUUUUGUUAGGCCAAUCCGGACUUAACCAGAAAACAGUAUUCAUUUAAAUAGUUGACAGUAAUUGAUCAAGAAAACUGAAGUUAAUAAAUUGAACUUAAGGUACUCUUUCUAUACUCAAUUUUUAAAAAACCAUUUUCCAUUGCCAGUCUUGUUUAGGCAAGUUCGGCCAAGAGCCUACUAAAAAACCAUUUUCCAUUGCUAGGUUGAUAAUUAAUCUCUUCUUGCCUUUGCUUAUGGCAACAAUUGAAGAUAUCUUAGAGGAUUAAUAUUUAUCAUACAUCUAUUCUUUUUUAUGAAAGACACGAUCGAGCUAGUAUCAUACACCUAUUCUUUGUGACAUACAUAAAUAUGGAGUAAAUCAAGAAAAUAGUCGUGUAUUAUUUGUGAUCCGAUGUAAACUUGGCUUUCACUCACUAGUGCAGGGAAUUCUUGCACAUAUAUUGUGCAAUUUUUUAACCAAAGAACCUUAGUGGCUCGGCUCAGUGCCUCGUUCUAUUCCCUCGUGAUGACUCUCCUUCUCAUUAUUCUUUCAGGGUAAAGAUUCCCAAUAGAACUGAUAAUAUUUUAUUUUGGAAGGAAUGUUAAAAAGUGGUGUACUUCAAGUUCAUGGUUCCAUUUGGCAUGAGGCACCGUGGAUAUAGGAAGUACUAAGUAAACCAUUAUACUUUCUUUUUUAUAGUAAACCAUUGAUGAUUUUAUUUUAUGACAGAGCUACAAGUAUAAUGAAAAAUAAGACAAGAAAGUGGAUCGGGAUUUAAAUUUACAUACAAGAAAGUCAUAGCAUCCAACCCAAAUAUGGAGAGGACCAACAUCUUUUAUACUACAAUGCUCCGAAUGUACUCUCAAUGAUUUCAAAAUUUCGAUCAUGAUUUUGGACUAAAGUUUUUCAACGUCCAUAGUGUCUUCGUUUGUCGGAUUCAUGAACUUUUUAACUUUAUGCUCAGAUCACAAGCAGCCUCAGGCUUACAGAUUGCUUCCUCUCAGCACAAGAUGUAAGUCGACUCAGUGGACGAUCAAGAAUAGCCCCGUUCUCAUCAUUACUUAGUGAGUUCUGAAAUGAGGAUGCUUAUACAUGAAUGAAUUUGGAUCAUAGUUUCUUUUCUUUAGUGUUCACUCAUACACUUAAGCGGGAAGUGAGAUGAAGGAAGGUGUCUUCACUGCAGGGGAUUGUGAUACCACCCAUGGGAUGAUCAUAUCCAAAUUCUUCUUCAGCUUGACUCAGCAAAUCCAGGAACAAAGGCUCAUUCAAGUAAGAUAUUGGAAUCAAAAACUGCGUCUUUUGGCUCCCCCCAACAUAGACUGCAAAAUAGCCUUUUGGGAUAUCUAAGGUCUUUGAAUCAGCUGUCUGACUUGAACUAGAUAGAGAUCGAAUGAGACUUCUCUUGGCGUUAACAAUUCCGGGCAACCGGAAACCCAUGAUUUAGUAUUCUCAAAAGGACAACCGGAUUAUAUUGAAGCUUGGUAUACUAUCUUUCUUCACCAAUCUGAAGAUUUUAGUCAUUCCUGGUUUAUUAAUUUUGAUAAUAAGUUCAAAAGCCCAUUCCCCUACUGGUUUCUUCACUGGUGGGAAAAAUAUGGUCCAGUUGAUGAAAUUCUUCCAGUAUCAGUUCUUGAGUUGAUCCGCCAUUUUACUAAAAGAGCCAAGUUUUCCCUAGUUGAUUUAUUCUUUCCCAAACAGUUGCUGUUUAUUGCCAGAUACAAGGUACCUUGGAUCCUUAAAUGGUCCUAUGCCAUCACCAAGGACACCCGUGUAUUUGCCCGCCAAUUCUCAAUCAAAUGAGUCAAGAAAUGAUGGAGUUCUGUAAGAAAGAAAUUGAAGAGUUGCUUAAUCUUGAGUCAAUCAAAAAGCACAAGACUGAUGGAAACAAUUUCCUGCAUAUUGGUCUUGUUCAAGUCGCCGUUAAGCCCCUAACCAGGUUAGGUUUGAAAGCCUCCAUACUGCUCUGUUUACGCGAUGCCCGGUUCACCGCGUUCAGUGACAGUACGCUAGGAGUUAUUGAGUCCAGUUUGUGUAACGGUCCAGUUCAUUUUGAUUGUUACCCAGACUUCACUGUAAGCCUUAGUGAUCCACAUAUAUUGAGAACCCUAACUCUCAAUAUUAAGACUGAAGGUUAUAAUGUCCUCCCAGGAACCCAACCUUUAGCAUUAGUUUACAGAAUUUACUAUAAGGUCACAGGAACCAAUAUGAACUUCCAGGCCUUAAACAAAAGCCCAAAGGAUCAGACAGUCCUGAUCCAGAGUCACACCUCAGACGCCCAUAUUCAAGUUCCCCAGACCAUUAAAUGGUCAGAAGUUGCCCUUCCAACAGAUUGGACCUUAGUUACCGAGAGCCAACCAGCUCCGAUUCAACGUAGUCUAAACAAUUUAGACUACAUCCAGCAGUACUUAGAUGGCACGGUUAAGAUUAGAUUCGAUAGCCAGCCUCUACAUAAGUCUAAAGUCCAGUUACACCAGUUACCAACCCCAGGUCAGUCACAAAGGCAUGCCCCAGCUAGGCACUCCUUUACUGCCUCAUCCUCAACUCUAGAACGAGACCUAGAGUUAGAAAAAACCAUGAUAGAUUUAAAGCUUGAGUCCCUGAGAAGAUCCUCUCAGGUAACCCAACCCUGCUACGGCACGGUUCCAGUAGAAGAAAAGUCAGAAUCCCCUGAGUCACCUACCCAGUCUGACUUCAUAGUUGAAAACCAGUUAAGAACCCUUAAUAGAAAAUUUAAAAUUGAUUGGUCACGUCUAAACAAACAUCUCAAAGCCCCUGAGAACCUGUCUAGACGAGAUAGUUAUCACCAAGCCUUUCCUGAUAGUAGCCGCCGCUUAGAAAUCUUUAGUGAAUGGAAAGAUUACAUGCGGUCAGCCCAAGUUGAAAUUUUCUACCUUGAUUUUGUUGAAAGCCGUUAUAUGUCAAAUGAUGAGUUAAAAACCUUAACUCAGCAAAAAUGGAAAAUGGCAGAUAAGUCUGUCGUUGAGUCUAGCCAUCCUCCAGUAGAAACCAUAAUUAUUGAGCAUAAAGAUACUCUUAUUCCUGCUACUCCUUUCAAAACAUUUGAAAGCAGUGACAGUAAUAGAAGAAUUCUUGAGCAAAAUAAUUAUACCAACCAGAGUCUAAUUGUUAUAGGAAAACAGUUGGAUACAAUUGAAACUAAAAUUGAUAAGAUAGGUUCUACAGACGUAGAGUCUAAAAAGAAAAUUGAAAAACCAAUUGUCCAGUUCCAGGAUCUUAGGUCUAGCCCGACCCUUAAGAUCACACCUACAAUAAAGAAAAUAGAAGACAUGUUAGCCCAGUUGACCCCUGCCAAAGUUGAAAAAACUGAGAAAUCUGGUCUUAAAACACUGGAUGCCUUUGCAGUAGAAAAUACCUCUGAGUCUGAGUCUUCAGAAGUAAGCAAUAUUUCUAAAAUUGAAAAAGCCUUUCAAACUUUAGAAAUCCAAGUUGAACCCAAAGUUAAGAAAUUAGAAAAGUUUGUCAGCCCCAGUAGUCUGACCAAAAAUUGGUAUCCCAGACCAACACCUCCUGACAUUCAAUUUGAAGAAAGAAACCUGCAGACCCAGUUCUCUGUUUCUUCCGACAAAUUGUAUGAAUGGAAUAUUGAUGGUCUCUCUGAGCAAGAGAUCCUCAAUAAGUUACAACAUAUGUCCAUGGUUGCCAAUAGUUAUAUCACCAAUCACAGUUUCAGACAGUCUGAAAUUGUCCCUCUGUUAGUCACAGGUUUCACCGGUACUCUCAGAAGUUGGUGGGAUAAACACCUGAGUCCUGAGUCUAAAAGCCGUAUAACCUUUGCUGUAAAACUGAAUGAUGACGGUCACCCUAUCUUUGACGAACGAAUAGGUCAAGGUAUAGAAGACGGUGUCAACACCCUGUUUUACACCAUAAUCGAUCACUUCAUAGGAACCCCUAGUAAUCAAACUGCUAGGAUCCAUGACCAGUUAAGUAAUCUUAGAUGCCCAAAGUUGUCCGAUUUCAGAUGGUAUAAGGAUGUCUUCAUCUCUAGAGUCAUGCUUAGAGACGAUAGUAACCAACCAUUCUGGAAAGAGAAAUUUGUUAAUGGUUUGCCAAACCUAUUUGCCCAUAAGAUCAGAACUACCCUCAGUAAUGAAUUAGGUCAUAUUGAUUGGGAUAGUUUAACUUAUGGUAACAUUGUAAGCACAAUUAAUCAAGUUGGCAUGAAAAUGUGUGUUGAUUACAAAAUCGGAAAACAAAUACAGUCCGAUAGGAAAUCAGCCAAAUAUGAGUUAGGAAACUUCUGUGAACAAUACGGUCUCAGUAGCAUUCCGCCCUCUAGAAGAAAUAAGUCUAAGCCAAGUCACCUUAGGAAACGUCGGUUUUCCUCUAAAAGAAAACAUUUUGCAGUUAAAAGUGAUAAUGAGUUUUAUAAGAAAAGAAAAAGUUUUAAAAGAAAAAAUUGGUCUAAAGCCCCCAGAAAAGCCCAGAAGAGUCGACCCAAAACCGAUAAGUCCAAAGUUAAAUGUUUUAAAUGUCAAAAAUUUGGUCAUUAUGCCUCUGAGUGUAAAGUUAAAGAUGCCAUUAAGCAGUUGCAGAUCUCAGAAGCUGAAAGAGAAAAGUUGAUCCAAGUUUUAGAGUUGCGAGACUCUGAAACUAGCAGUCCCGAAACCUUAGUUGCCAGCUCUGGAUAUGAUUCUGAACAAGCUUCAGAUUCCCAGCCUAGUUCCCCUGAUGUCCAAUUUGGUUGCACCGAUAAGUGUUGUAAUAGAUUAAAAUCUAUUUUUGUUCUUACCAAACAGGAAGAACAAGAAGAGUUGUUAAUCGACUUAAUCAGCCGAGUAGAAAACCCUGAGUUAAAGUCCGAUUAUUUGAAAAAAUUGCGAAAAGUCAUUAGUCAAGAAAGCUCUAGUAGUCCUAAACCGCAGCCAGUCAGUUUAGCCACUACUAUAGAAAAGUUCGCUCAGAAAAAGAAAGAAGUUACCUUACAAGACCUCCAGUUAGAAGUCAAAUUAGUCAAACAAGAAUUAGCCGAGUUAAGACAGAUUAGUAACCAGUUGCAGGUUGAAAACCAUACAAUCAGGCAAGACUUAACAAGUCUUCAAAAAGGCAAAAUGCCUUUAGAGCCCAGUAACCAGUCAGACAGCCCUGCUGGUUCUGACGAAGAAACCCCAGUUGUCAACCUAAUCAAACAAGUCAAUUUCCGAAAAUGGUAUUCGAAAGUUACAAUAGUUGUCAAAGAUUUUGAGUUUACCACAGUUGCCUUAUUUGAUUCAGGAGCCGACCUUAACUGUAUUCAGGAAGGUCUAAUUCCUACUAAGUACUACCAGAAGUCUAGAGAAACCCUAAGCACUGCUUCAGGAAAAUCUCUUCAGCUGAAUUAUGAGUUGCCUAAAGCCCAUAUUUGCCAAAACAGAGUUUGUUUUAAAACUUCGUUUGUUUUAGUUAAAAAUAUUACUGAUGAGGUUAUCUUAGGAUUACCCUUCAUAAGUCUGCUUUAUCCCUUCCAGGUAGAAUACGACGGUGUCAUUUCUACCCAAUUAGGUGAGAAAGUUAAGUUUAGUUUCCUUUCUAAACCUGAGUUGCAUAAUCUGAAAGCCUUACAGAAACAGUCUGUCUCUAGGUCCCUUCAGGUUGUCCAAAAAACUAACCAGUUGAAAUUUCUUAAGGAAGAAAUUAAGUUUAAGAGAGUUGAACAACAACUUGCCAGUCAGUCCUUACAGUUGCAAAUUCAAAAAUUUGAACAAAGAUUAAAAGAAGAAAUUUGUUCUGAGUUGCCCACAGCCUUUUGGUAUAGGAAGCAGCAUGUCGUCCGUCUUCCCUACAUCAAAACCUUUAGUGAGAAAAAUAUCCCCACUAAAGCCAGGCCAAUCCAAAUGAGUCAAGAAAUGAUGGAGUUCUGUAAGAAAGAAAUUGAAGAGUUGCUUCAAAAGAAAAUAAUUCGCAAGAGUAAGUCCCCCUGGUCAUGUCCUGCUUUUUAUGUCCAGAAAAAUGCUGAACUAGAAAGAGGUGUUCCCAGAUUAGUUAUCAAUUAUAAGCCCCUUAAUGCGGUCCUAGAAUGGAUUAGGUAUCCCAUACCUAAUAAAAGAGAUCUCAUUAAUCGGUUAGAAAAAGCAGUUGUCUAUUCUAAGUUUGAUUUGAAAAGUGGUUUCUGGCAAAUCCAAAUAGAUGAGUCAGACAGAUAUAAGACUGCAUUUGUCACUCCCUUUGGUCAUUACGAGUGGAAUGUAAUGCCCUUUGGUUUGAAAAAUGCUCCUAGUGAAUUCCAGAAUAUCAUGAAUGAUAUAUUCAAUCCUUACAGUCAGUUUUCGAUUGUUUAUAUUGAUGAUGUUCUAAUCUUUUCUGAGUCAAUAGAACAACAUUGGAAACAUUUGCAUAAGUUCCUUCAAGUUGUCAAACAAAAUGGUUUAGUUGUUUCUGCCAAAAAGAUCAAGUUGUUUCAAACCAAUAUUCGUUUUCUUGGUUUCAAUAUUUGUCAGUCGCAAAUCUCCCCAAUUGAUCGAGUUAUCCAGUUUGCUGAUAAGUUCCCUGAUCAAAUUCUUGAUAAGAGUCAACUUCAGAGGUUUUUAGGAUCCCUAAAUUAUAUCUCUGACUUCUAUCAGAAUCUGAGAAAACAGUGUAAGCCCCUAUUUGAUAGGUUGCAGAGUAAUCCUCCUCCUUGGUCGUCUACUCACACUGAAGUUGUUAAACAGAUUAAAUCCCAUGUCAAGACACUUCCCUGUCUUGGUAUUCCUUCAGUUGAUUCAUUCAAAAUAGUUGAAACCGAUGCCUCUGACAUAGGUUAUGGUGGCAUUCUUAAGCAAAAAGUCAGUCCUAGUUCUCCAGAACAAAUUGUUCGAUUCCAUUCUGGAACCUGGACUCAGUCGCAGCAUAAUUACAGUACUAUUAAAAAAGAAAUUUUAGCUAUUGUAUUAUGCAUUAGUAAAUUUCAAGAUGAUUUGCUUAAUCAAAAGUUUUUAAUCCGAGUUGAUUGUAUGUCUGCAAAACAUGUUUUAGAAAAAGAUGUUCAAAACAUUGCAUCUAAACAGAUUUUUGCACGAUGGCAAAGUAUAUUAAGUAUAUUUGAUUUUGAAAUUGAAUAUUUGAAAGGCAGUGAGAAUUCUGUUCCUGAUUUUCUCACUCGAGAAUUCUUGCAGGAUGCACAAUGGCUCCCAAGAAAGACAAACAAAAAGCAGUAGCCAGUCAACCCAAGUUGCCCAAGUCGCCCAAAUCAACCCAGUCAUCCCAGUCGCUCAGAGUCCUUCCUUCCUCCAUGAGUCAACCUAAGCCAGAGUUGCCCAGGCAAAUAGUUCCAUAUCCGGGUCACCCCCCAUUAUCAGUUGCCACUCCAAUUUCAGUUGCAAACAGAUUUUCCUCUUUAGGAUCCACAGUUGGCCAAAUUCGCCCCAGUUAUCAAUCCACCUUAAUUUCCAGUUAUGACCCCUUUGCAGUUGAGAUCCCUGCAGAGCCAUCAGUUGUGCCAUCAGUUGUCCACAAAAAAUCGUCUCCUUAUUUGCCUAAAAGUAAUUCUCAUUUAUUUGUCAUUGAGUCCACAUAUGAUAUUCAUGCAAAUCCAGUAGAAAUUGCCAAACACUAUUUCCCUCCUGGAUUUCAUUAUAUGCCCCAGAGUCCAUAUAAGUCCCUCAAGUACUAUAGAGAUAUAUUACUUGAGACACAAUCAGUUGAAAUUAAGCCGAUAAAGGAUCGGGAUCAUCCUGAAACCAUUCUUUAUCAUUCUUUGUAUAUUCAUAAAAUUGUAAGCCAAGAAUCUUUUAGUAGCCAUCCUUAUGAGUUGAAAACACUUAAGUCAAAAUUACAAUAUAAUUAUUCUGAUUAUAUUGAAGCCUGGUAUACUAUUUUCCUUCAUCAAUCUGAAGACUUUAGUCAUUCCUGGUUUAUUAAUUUUGAUAAUAAGUUCAAAAGUCCUUUCCCCUACUGGUUUCUUCACUGGUGGGAAAAAUAUGGUCCUGCUGAGGAAAUCUUGCCAGCCUCAGUUCUUGAGUUAAUUCAACAUUAUGCCAAAAAAGCCAAGUUUUCUCAAGUUGACAGAUUCUUCCAGUUGCAAAUGCUUUUUAUUGCCAGGUAUAAGGUGCCUUGGAUCCUCAAAUGGGGUUACAGAGUCACCAAGGAUACCCGAGUACUUGCCCGCCAGUUUUCAGUUAAGUGGUGGGACAAAUUUGAAGUUGAACGAAUUGCUAAAAAUGUCUAUAAUGACCUCCCCCGGGAGCCAGUUCCUCGCCAUGUAUCCCCUACAGGUUCAGUCCGAUCUUCCUUAUCAGUUGAAGGAAAAUCCAAGUCAGAACUUCAGGAGAUUGCACGCCAGCUGAUCAUCCAGGCCUCUCAAAUGGAUGAUGAUGAGGACAAUGAUUCUCCCCCAUCGUCUAGUUGCCAGCCCGUGCAGAGUCCUGCCAAGACAAAGUCAUGGUUUGAUGACAGCCAGGACCCCUACGAUGCCUACGAUCUAGGGGAAUCCUCUCCAUAAUUGCCUCAGUUGCCGACAAACAAGCCUCGUCAAAGAAGUUGCCAAUUUGUCAAAAGAAGUUGCCGACAGACCACUCUGUCAAAAGAAGACGCCAGAUCACGUGAAAGCAGCGGACAAAGCAUCUCUGCUUUUACUUUAGUCAGAUCACCGAAAAGUAGCAGACAAAGCACUGUUUGCUUUUUGACAAUCCACCGAAAAUAGCCGAAAGCAUCUGCAGGAGUCAAAGUUACCUCUACAGUUGCUAAAGUUGAAUCAGGUUGAACACCCGUGCCUCUAAGGCCGAAGCCUGCUUAUAAAGAGAAAAGCAACUAUGGUUUACAUAACUUAGGAUAACAAAUAACUCGGGUAAGCAACUGUAGGAGCACGGGUAUGCAACCCGAUUCAACUUUCAAUUUUGUCUUCUUGUGGUGAAUUCAGAAAUCAACCUUGUCGGCUGGGCUUUGUCAGCUGGCAGGGAAUCUUCUGCUUUCGGCUACUUUCGAUGAAGUGACCAAAGCGAAACAGUGCUUUGUCUGCUGCUUUAGAAAAUGCUUCAUGUGAUGGCUGCUUUCGGCAAAAGCAAACAGGGCUUUGUCUGCUGCUUUCACGUGGGGCAAUUAUGGAGGGAAUCCCUAAUCAGACCCGAGGUCAUAGCCGUCAUAGGGAUCCUGGCUGUCAUCAUACCAAGUCUUUGGCUUGGCAGGGCUCUGCAUGGGCUGGCAACUAGAUGACGAGGGAGAAUCAUUGUCCUCAUCAUCAUCCAUUUGAGAGGCCUGGAUGAUCAGCUGGCGUGCAAUCUCCUGAAGUUCUGACUUGGAUUUUCCUUCAACUGAUAAGGAAGAUCGGACUGAACCUGUAGGGGAUACAUGGCGAGGAACUGGCUCCCGGGGGAGGUCAUUAUAGACAUUUUUAGCAAUUCGUUCAACUUCAAAUUUGUCCCACCACUUAACUGAAAACUGGCGGGCAAGUACUCGGGUAUCCUUGGUGACUCUGUAACCCCAUUUGAGGAUCCAAGGCACCUUAUACCUGGCAAUAAAAAGCAUUUGCAACUGGAAGAAUCUGUCAACUUGAGAAAACUUGGCUUUUUUGGCAUAAUGUUGAAUUAACUCAAGAACUGAGGCUGGCAAGAUUUCCUCAGCAGGACCAUAUUUUUCCCACCAGUGAAGAAACCAGUAGGGGAAAGGACUUUUGAACUUAUUAUCAAAAUUAAUAAACCAGGAAUGACUAAAGUCUUCAGAUUGAUGAAGGAAAAUAGUAUACCAGGCUUCAAUAUAAUCAGAAUAAUUAUAUUGUAAUUUUGACUUAAGUGUUUUCAACUCAUAAGGAUGGCUACUAAAAGAUUCUUGGCUUACAAUUUUAUGAAUAUACAAAGAAUGAUAAAGAAUGGUUUCAGGAUGAUCCCGAUCCUUUAUCGGCUUAAUUUCAACUGAUUGUGUCUCAAGUAAUAUAUCUCUAUAGUACUUGAGGGACUUAUAUGGACUCUGGGGCAUAUAAUGAAAUCCAGGAGGGAAAUAGUGUUUGGCAAUUUCUACUGGAUUUGCAUGAAUAUCAUAUAUGGAUUCAAUGAUAAAUAAAUGAGAAUUACUUUUAGGCAAAUAAGGAGACGAUUUUUUGUGGACAACUGAUGGCACAACUGAUGGCCCUGCAGGGAUCUCAACUGCAAAGGGGUCAUAACUGGAAAUUAAGGUGGAUUGAUAACUGGGGCGAAUUUGGCCAACUGUGGAUCCUAAAGAGGAAAAUCUGUUUGCAACUGAAAUUGGAGUGGCAACUGAUAAUGGGGGGUGACCCGGAUAUGGAACUAUUUGCUUGGGCAACUCUGGCUUAGGUUGACUCAUGGAGGAAGGAAGGAUUCUGAGCGACUGGGAUGACUGGGUUGAUUUGGGCGACUUGGGCAACUUGGGUUGACUGGCUACUGCUUUUUGUUUGUCUUUCUUGGGAGCCAUUGUGCAUCCUGCAAGAAUUCUCGAGUGAGAAAAUCAGGAACAGAAUUCUCACUGCCUUUCAAAUAUUCAAUUUCAAAAUCAAAUAUACUUAAUAUACUUUGCCAUCGUGCAAAAAUCUGUUUAGAUGCAAUGUUUUGAACAUCUUUUUCUAAAACAUGUUUUGCAGACAUACAAUCAACUCGGAUUAAAAACUUUUGAUUAAGCAAAUCAUCUUGAAAUUUACUAAUGCAUAAUACAAUAGCUAAAAUUUCUUUUUUAAUAGUACUGUAAUUAUGCUGCGACUGAGUCCAGGUUCCAGAAUGGAAUCGAACAAUUUGUUCUGGAGAACUAGGACUGACUUUUUGCUUAAGAAUGCCACCAUAACCUAUGUCAGAGGCAUCGGUUUCAACUAUUUUGAAUGAAUCAACUGAAGGAAUACCAAGACAGGGAAGUGUCUUGACAUGGGAUUUAAUCUGUUUAACAACUUCAGUGUGAGUAGACGACCAAGGAGGAGGAUUACUCUGCAACCUAUCAAAUAGGGGCUUACACUGUUUUCUCAGAUUCUGAUAGAAGUCAGAGAUAUAAUUUAGGGAUCCUAAAAACCUCUGAAGUUGACUCUUAUCAAGAAUUUGAUCAGGGAACUUAUCAGCAAACUGGAUAACUCGAUCAAUUGGGGAGAUUUGCNNNNNNNNNNNNNNNNNNNNNNNNNNNNNNNNNNNNNNNNNNNNNNNNNNNNNNNNNNNNNNNNNNNNNNNNNNNNNNNNNNNNNNNNNNNNNNNNNNNNNNNNNNNNNNNNNNNNNNNNNNNNNNNNNNNNNNNNNNNNNNNNNNNNNNNNNNNNNNNNNNNNNNNNNNNNNNNNNNNNNNNNNNNNNNNNNNNNNNNNNNNNNNNNNNNNNNNNNNNNNNNNNNNNNNNNNNNNNNNNNNNNNNNNNNNNNNNNNNNNNNNNNNNNNNNNNNNNNNNNNNNNNNNNNNNNNNNNNNNNNNNNNNNNNNNNNNNNNNNNNNNNNNNNNNNNNNNNNNNNNNNNNNNNNNNNNNNNNNNNNNNNNNNNNNNNNNNNNNNNNNNNNNNNNNNNNNNNNNNNNNNNNNNNNNNNNNNNNNNNNNNNNNNNNNNNNNNNNNNNNNNNNNNNNNNNNNNNNNNNNNNNNNNNNNNNNNNNNNNNNNNNNNNNNNNNNNNNNNNNNNNNNNNNNNNNNNNNNNNNNNNNNNNNNNNNNNNNNNNNNNNNNNNNNNNNNNNNNNNNNNNNNNNNNNNNNNNNNNNNNNNNNNNNNNNNNNNNNNNACUCAUUUGGAUUGCCCGGGCUAGGCGUAGUAGUCGCGUCUCACUAAAGCGCUUUGAUGUAGGGAAGACGGACGACAUGCUGCUUCCUAUACCAAAAGGCUGUGGGCAACUCAGAACAAAUUUCUUCUUUUAAUCUUUGUUCAAAUUUUUGAAUUUGCAACUGUAAGGACUGACUGGCAAGUUGUUGUUCAACUCUCUUAAACUUAAUUUCUUCCUUAAGAAAUUUCAACUGGUUAGUUUUUUGGACAACCUGAAGGGACCUAGAGACAGAAUGUUUCUGUAAGGCUUUCAGAUUAUGCAACUCAGGUUUAGAAAGGAAACUAAACUUAACUUUCUCACCUAAUUGGGUAGAAAUGACACCGUCGUAUUCUACCUGGAAGGGAUAAAGCAGACUUAUGAAGGGUAAUCCUAAGAUAACCUCAUCAGUAAUAUUUUUAACUAAAACAAACGAAGUUUUAAAACAAACUCUGUUUUGGCAAAUAUGGGCUUUAGGCAACUCAUAAUUCAGCUGAAGAGAUUUUCCUGAAGCAGUGCUUAGGGUUUCUCUAGACUUCUGGUAGUACUUAGUAGGAAUUAGACCUUCCUGAAUACAGUUAAGGUCGGCUCCUGAAUCAAAUAAGGCAAUUGUGGUAAACUCAAAAUCUUUGACAACUAUUGUAACUUUCGAAUACCAUUUUCGGAAAUUGACUUGUUUGAUUAGGUUGACAACUGGAGUUUCUUCGUCAGAACCAGCAGGGCUGUCUGACUGGUUACUGGGCACUAAAGGCAUUUUGCCUUUUUGAAGACUUGUUAAGUCUUGCCUGAUUGUGUGGUUUUCAACCUGCAACUGGUUACUAAUCUGCCUUAACUCGGCUAAUUCUUGUUUGACUAAUUUGACUUCUAACUGGAGGUCUUGUAAGGUAACUUCUUUCUUUUUCUGAGCGAACUUUUCUAUAGUAGUGGCUAAACUGACUGGCUGCGGUUUAGGACUACUAGAGCUUUCUUGACUAAUGACUUUUCGCAAUUUUUUCAAAUAAUCGGACUUUAACUCAGGGUUUUCUACUCGGCUGAUUAAGUCGAUUAACAACUCUUCUUGUUCUUCCUGUUUGGUAAGAACAAAAAUAGAUUUUAAUCUAUUACAACACUUAUCGGUGCAACCAAAUUGGACAUCAGGGGAACUAGGCUGGGAAUCUGAAGCUUGUUCAGAAUCAUAUCCAGAGCUGGCAACUAAGGUUUCGGGACUGCUAGUUUCAGAGUCUCGCAACUCUAAAACUUGGAUCAACUUUUCUCUUUCAGCUUCUGAGAUCUGCAACUGCUUAAUGGCAUCUUUAACUUUACACUCAGAGGCAUAAUGACCAAAUUUUUGACAUUUAAAACAUUUAACUUUGGACUUAUCGGUUUUGGGUCGACUCUUCUGGGCUUUUCUGGGGGCUUUAGACCAAUUUUUUCUUUUAAAACUUUUUCUUUUCUUAUAAAACUCAUUAUCACUUUUAACUGCAAAAUGUUUUCUUUUAGAGGAAAACCGACGUUUCCUAAGGUGACUUGGCUUAGACUUAUUUCUGCAUAUGCAUUAGUCUGAAUACUGAGUUAAGUUGCUGCAUAAUCAUAUUCAUCUUCUUUCUCGCUAUCUCUCUGUGUCCCCUCUCUGUUGGUAUCAGAGCCGUAAGAGUUACGGUCUUUGUCUAAGUCUGCUACUCAUUCCCGCCCAAGUGGCUGGUUUAAGCUUCUGAGUAGAAGGUUUUCAUCUUCUUCUUUUCCUUCCUUUUUAUUCUUUGAGUUGUCUGUUGAUUUCACUCUAAGGUCUGACCCGUGAGUCCUUUUUGCUAGAUCUGUAAGUCCCGAGGGUAGGGCGUUUGUGCUGGGCAGGAGACAGAAAAUUGAGUGGAGUUAGUAGAUUUCUUAGAGUCUAAGGAGUGAGUCCGAGAAGUUCCUGUUUAUCUUCUUCCUCAGUCCGUUUGAGUCAAACACUUGAGUAGCCAUGAGUCGUUUUCUUAGGUCGAGUUCCUGUAAGUCAAGCAGUUCUAAGACCAAUAUAAGUCGACUCCCUGAGAUAGUUAAUGAAGAACAAUUUGAAUAUGAUUCUAGUUGCAAAGAACAAUUAGAUUUUAGAGAUUGGAAUAUCCCUAAAGUCCCUAGUCAAAAAAUCUAUAAGAAACAUUGGUUGCCUUCCAGUUUUAAUUGCACCACACAUGUCAAAACAGUUGAACAAGUUUACGCUCUUAGUAAAGAACACGAAACUUGCCAGUUGCUUAAUCUUGAGUCAAUCAAAAAGCACAAGACUGAUGGAAACAAUUUCCUGCAUAUUGGUCUUGUUCAAGUUGCCGUUAAGCCCCUAACCAGGUUAGGUUUGAAAGCCUCCAUACUGCUCUGUUUACGCGAUGCCCGGUUCACCGCGUUCAGUGACAGUACGCUAGGAGUUAUUGAGUCCAGUUUGUGUAACGGUCCAGUUCAUUUUGAUUGUUACCCAGACUUCACUGUAAGCCUUAGUGAUCCACAUAUAUUGAGAACCCUAACUCUCAAUAUUAAGACUGAAGGUUAUAAUGUCCUCCCAGGAACCCAACCUUUAGCAUUAGUUUACAGAAUUUACUAUAAGGUCACAGGAACCAAUAUGAACUUCCAGGCCUUAAACAAAAGCCCAAAGGAUCAGACAGUCCUGAUCCAGAGUCACACCUCAGACGCCCAUAUUCAAGUUCCCCAGACCAUUAAAUGGUCAGAAGUUGCCCUUCCAACAGAUUGGACCUUAGUUACCGAGAGCCAACCAGCUCCGAUUCAACGUAGUCUAAACAAUUUAGACUACAUCCAGCAGUACUUAGAUGGCACGGUUAAGAUUAGAUUCGAUAGCCAGCCUCUACAUAAGUCUAAAGUCCAGUUACACCAGUUACCAACCCCAGGUCAGUCACAAAGGCAUGCCCCAGCUAGGCACUCCUUUACUGCCUCAUCCUCAACUCUAGAACGAGACCUAGAGUUAGAAAAAACCAUGAUAGAUUUAAAGCUUGAGUCCCUGAGAAGAUCCUCUCAUGUAACCCAACCCUGCUACGGCACGGUUCCAGUAGAAGAAAAGUCAGAAUCCCCUGAGUCACCUACCCAGUCUGACUUCAUAGUUGAAAACCAGUUAAGAACCCUUAAUAGAAAAUUUAAAAUUGAUUGGUCACGUCUAAACAAACAUCUCAAAGCCCCUGAGAACCUGUCUAGACGAGAUAGUUAUCACCAAGCCUUUCCUGAUAGUAGCCGCCGCUUAGAAAUCUUUAGUGAAUGGAAAGAUUACAUGCGGUCAGCCCAAGUUGAAAUUUUCUACCUUGAUUUUGUUGAAAGCCGUUAUAUGUCAAAUGAUGAGUUAAAAACCUUAACUCAGCAAAAAUGGAAAAUGGCAGAUAAGUCUGUCGUUGAGUCUAGCCAUCCUCCAGUAGAAACCAUAAUUAUUGAGCAUAAAGAUACUCUUAUUCCUGCUACUCCUUUCAAAACAUUUGAAAGCAGUGACAGUAAUAGAAGAAUUCUUGAGCAAAAUAAUUAUACCAACCAGAGUCUAAUUGUUAUAGGAAAACAGUUGGAUACAAUUGAAACUAAAAUUGAUAAGAUAGGUUCUACAGACGUAGAGUCUAAAAAGAAAAUUGAAAAACCAAUUGUCCAGUUCCAGGAUCUUAGGUCUAGCCCGACCCUUAAGAUCACACCUACAAUAAAGAAAAUAGAAGACAUGUUAGCCCAGUUGACCCCUGCCAAAGUUGAAAAAACUGAGAAAUCUGGUCUUAAAACACUAGAUGCCUUUGCAGUAGAAAAUACCUCUGAGUCUGAGUCUUCAGAAGUAAGCAAUAUUUCUAAAAUUGAAAAAGCCUUUCAAACUUUAGAAAUCCAAGUUGAACCCAAAGUUAAGAAAUUAGAAAAGUUUGUCAGCCCCAGUAGUCUGACCAAAAAUUGGUAUCCCAGACCAACACCUCCUGACAUUCAAUUUGAAGAAAGAAACCUGCAGACCCAGUUCUCUGUUUCUUCCGACAAAUUGUAUGAAUGGAAUAUUGAUGGUCUCUCUGAGCAAGAGAUCCUCAAUAAGUUACAACAUAUGUCCAUGGUUGCCAAUAGUUAUAUCACCAAUCACAGUUUCAGACAGUCUGAAAUUGUCCCUCUGUUAGUCACUGGUUUCACCGGUACUCUCAGAAGUUGGUGGGAUAAACACCUGAGUCCUGAGUCUAAAAGCCGUAUAACCUUUGCUGUAAAACUGAAUGAUGACGGUCACCCUAUCUUUGACGAACGAAUAGGUCAAGGUAUAGAAGACGGUGUCAACACCCUGUUUUACACCAUAAUCGAUCACUUCAUAGGAACCCCUAGUAAUCAAACUGCUAGGAUCCAUGACCAGUUAAGUAAUCUUAGAUGCCCAAAGUUGUCCGAUUUCAGAUGGUAUAAGGAUGUCUUCAUCUCUAGAGUCAUGCUUAGAGACGAUAGUAACCAACCAUUCUGGAAAGAGAAAUUUGUUAAUGGUUUGCCAAACCUAUUUGCCCAUAAGAUCAGAACUACCCUCAGUAAUGAAUUAGGUCAUAUUGAUUGGGAUAGUUUAACUUAUGGUAACAUUGUAAGCACAAUUAAUCAAGUUGGCAUGAAAAUGUGUGUUGAUUACAAAAUCGGAAAACAAAUACAGUCCGAUAGGAAAUCAGCCAAAUAUGAGUUAGGAAACUUCUGUGAACAAUACGGUCUCAGUAGCAUUCCGCCCUCUAGAAGAAAUAAGUCUAAGCCAAGUCACCUUAGGAAACGUCGGUUUUCCUCUAAAAGAAAACAUUUUGCAGUUAAAAGUGAUAAUGAGUUUUAUAAGAAAAGAAAAAGUUUUAAAAGAAAAAAUUGGUCUAAAGCCCCCAGAAAAGCCCAGAAGAGUCGACCCAAAACCGAUAAGUCCAAAGUUAAAUGUUUUAAAUGUCAAAAAUUUGGUCAUUAUGCCUCUGAGUGUAAAGUUAAAGAUGCCAUUAAGCAGUUGCAGAUCUCAGAAGCUGAAAGAGAAAAGUUGAUCCAAGUUUUAGAGUUGCGAGACUCUGAAACUAGCAGUCCCGAAACCUUAGUUGCCAGCUCUGGAUAUGAUUCUGAACAAGCUUCAGAUUCCCAGCCUAGUUCCCCUGAUGUCCAAUUUGGUUGCACCGAUAAGUGUUGUAAUAGAUUAAAAUCUAUUUUUGUUCUUACCAAACAGGAAGAACAAGAAGAGUUGUUAAUCGACUUAAUCAGCCGAGUAGAAAACCCUGAGUUAAAGUCCGAUUAUUUGAAAAAAUUGCGAAAAGUCAUUAGUCAAGAAAGCUCUAGUAGUCCUAAACCGCAGCCAGUCAGUUUAGCCACUACUAUAGAAAAGUUCGCUCAGAAAAAGAAAGAAGUUACCUUACAAGACCUCCAGUUAGAAGUCAAAUUAGUCAAACAAGAAUUAGCCGAGUUAAGGCAGAUUAGUAACCAGUUGCAGGUUGAAAACCACACAAUCAGGCAAGACUUAACAAGUCUUCAAAAAGGCAAAAUGCCUUUAGUGCCCAGUAACCAGUCAGACAGCCCUGCUGGUUCUGACGAAGAAACUCCAGUUGUCAACCUAAUCAAACAAGUCAAUUUCCGAAAAUGGUAUUCGAAAGUUACAAUAAUUGUCAAAGAUUUUGAAUUUACCACAGUUGCCUUAUUUGAUUCAGGAGCUGACCUUAACUGCAUUCAGGAAGGUCUAAUUCCUACUAAGUAUUACCAGAAGUCUAGAGAAACCCUAAGCACUGCCUCAGGAAAAUCUCUCCAGUUGAAUUAUGAGUUGCCUAAAGCCCAUAUUUGCCAAAACAAAGUUUGUUUUAAAACUUCGUUUGUUUUAGUUAAAAAUAUUACUGAUGAGGUUAUCUUAGGAUUACCCUUCAUAAGUCUGCUUUAUCCCUUCCAGGUAGAAUACGACGGUGUCAUUUCUACCCAAUUAGGUGAGAAAGUUAAGUUUAGUUUCCUUUCUAAACCUGAGUUGCAUAAUCUGAAAGCCUUACAGAAACAUUCUGUCUCUAGGUCCCUUCAGGUUGUCCAAAAAACUAACCAGUUGAAAUUUCUUAAGGAAGAAAUUAAGUUUAAGAGAGUUGAACAACAACUUGCCAGUCAGUCCUUACAGUUGCAAAUUCAAAAAUUUGAACAAAGAUUAAAAGAAGAAAUUUGUUCUGAGUUGCCCACAGCCUUUUGGUAUAGGAAGCAGCAUGUCGUCCGUCUUCCCUACAUCAAAACCUUUAGUGAGAAAAAUAUCCCCACUAAAGCCAGGCCAAUCCAAAUGAGUCAAGAAAUGAUGGAGUUCUGUAAGAAAGAAAUUGAAGAGUUGCUUCAAAAGAAAAUAAUUCGCAAGAGUAAGUCCCCCUGGUCAUGUCCUGCUUUUUAUGUCCAGAAAAAUGCUGAACUAGAAAGAGGUGUUCCCAGAUUAGUUAUCAAUUAUAAGCCCCUUAAUGCGGUCCUAGAAUGGAUUAGGUAUCCCAUACCUAAUAAAAGAGAUCUCAUUAAUCGGUUAGAAAAAGCAGUUGUCUAUUCUAAGUUUGAUUUGAAAAGUGGUUUCUGGCAAAUCCAAAUAGAUGAGUCAGACAGAUAUAAGACUGCAUUUGUCACUCCCUUUGGUCAUUACGAGUGGAAUGUAAUGCCCUUUGGUUUGAAAAAUGCUCCUAGUGAAUUCCAGAAUAUCAUGAAUGAUAUAUUCAAUCCUUACAGUCAGUUUUCGAUUGUUUAUAUUGAUGAUGUUCUAAUCUUUUCUGAGUCAAUAGAACAACAUUGGAAACAUUUGCAUAAGUUCCUUCAAGUUGUCAAACAAAAUGGUUUAGUUGUUUCUGCCAAAAAGAUCAAGUUGUUUCAAACCAAUAUUCGUUUUCUUGGUUUCAAUAUUUGUCAGUCGCAAAUCUCCCCAAUUGAUCGAGUUAUCCAGUUUGCUGAUAAGUUCCCUGAUCAAAUUCUUGAUAAGAGUCAACUUCAGAGGUUUUUAGGAUCCCUAAAUUAUAUCUCUGACUUCUAUCAGAAUCUGAGAAAACAGUGUAAGCCCCUAUUUGAUAGGUUGCAGAGUAAUCCUCCUCCUUGGUCGUCUACUCACACUGAAGUUGUUAAACAGAUUAAAUCCCAUGUCAAGACACUUCCCUGUCUUGGUAUUCCUUCAGUUGAUUCAUUCAAAAUAAUUGAAACCGAUGCCUCUGACAUAGGUUAUGGUGGCAUUCUUAAGCAAAAAGUCAGUCCUAGUUCUCCAGAACAAAUUGUUCGAUUCCAUUCUGGAACCUGGACUCAGUCGCAGCAUAAUUACAGUACUAUUAAAAAAGAAAUUUUAGCUAUUGUAUUAUGCAUUAGUAAAUUUCAAGAUGAUUUGCUUAAUCAAAAGUUUUUAAUCCGAGUUGAUUGUAUGUCUGCAAAACAUGUUUUAGAAAAAGAUGUUCAAAACAUUGCAUCUAAACAGAUUUUUGCACGAUGGCAAAGUAUAUUAAGUAUAUUUGAUUUUGAAAUUGAAUAUUUGAAAGGCAGUGAGAAUUCUGUUCCUGAUUUUCUCACUCGAGAAUUCUUGCAGGAUGCACAAUGGCUCCCAAGAAAGACAAACAAAAAGCAGUAGCCAGUCAACCCAAGUUGCCCAAGUCGCCCAAAUCAACCCAGUCAUCCCAGUCGCUCAGAGUCCUUCCUUCCUCCAUGAGUCAACCUAAGCCAGAGUUGCCCAGGCAAAUAGUUCCAUAUCCGGGUCACCCCCCAUUAUCAGUUGCCACUCCAAUUUCAGUUGCAAACAGAUUUUCCUCUUUAGGAUCCACAGUUGGCCAAAUUCGCCCCAGUUAUCAAUCCACCUUAAUUUCCAGUUAUGACCCCUUUGCAGUUGAGAUCCCUGCAGAGCCAUCAGUUGUGCCAUCAGUUGUCCACAAAAAAUCGUCUCCUUAUUUGCCUAAAAGUAAUUCUCAUUUAUUUGUCAUUGAGUCCACAUAUGAUAUUCAUGCAAAUCCAGUAGAAAUUGCCAAACACUAUUUCCCUCCUGGAUUUCAUUAUAUGCCCCAGAGUCCAUAUAAGUCCCUCAAGUACUAUAGAGAUAUAUUACUUGAGACACAAUCAGUUGAAAUUAAGCCGAUAAAGGAUCGGGAUCAUCCUGAAACCAUUCUUUAUCAUUCUCUUUAUAUUCAUCAAAUUAUCAGUCAACAAUCUUUCAGUAGCCAUCCUUAUGAGUUGAAAUUUCUUAUGUCAAAAUUACAAUAUAAUUAUUCGGAUUAUAUUGAAGCUUGGUAUACUAUCUUUCUUCACCAAUCUGAAGAUUUUAGUCAUUCCUGGUUUAUUAAUUUUGAUAAUAAGUUCAAAAGCCCAUUCCCCUACUGGUUUCUUCACUGGUGGGAAAAAUAUGGUCCAGUUGAUGAAAUUCUUCCAGUAUCAGUUCUUGAGUUGAUCCGCCAUUUUACUAAAAGAGCCAAGUUUUCCCUAGUUGAUUUAUUCUUUCCCAAACAGUUGCUGUUUAUUGCCAGAUACAAGGUACCUUGGAUCCUUAAAUGGUCCUAUGCCAUCACCAAGGACACCCGUGUAUUUGCCCGCCAAUUCUCAAUCAAAUGGUGGGACAAGUUUGAAGUUGACAGAAUUGCCAAAUACGUCUACAGUGACCUCCCCCGGGAGCCAGUUGCUCACCCUGUAUCUCCUACAGGCUCAGUCAGAUCAUCCUUAUCAAUCGAAGGAAAAUCUAAAGCUGAGCUCCAGGAAAUUGCACGCCAGCUGAUCAUCCAGGCUUCUCAGAUGGAUGAUGAUGAGGACAAUGAUUCUCCUCCAUCGUCUAGUUGCCAACCCAUGCUGAGUCCUGCCAAGACAAAGUCAUGGUUCGAUGACAGCCAGGACCCCUAUGAUGCCUACGACCUAGGGGAAUCUUCUCCAUAAUUGCCUCAGUUGCCGACAAGCAAGCCUCGUUGCCAAUUUGUCAAAAGUAGUUGCCGACAGACCACUCUGUCAAAAGAAGUUGCUAGAUCACGUGAAAGCAGCGGACAAAGCAUCUCUGCUUUUACUUUUGUCAGAUCACCAAGAAGCAGCAGACAAAGCACUGUUUGCUUUUUGACAAUCCACCGAAAGUAGCCGAAAGCAUCUGCAGGAGUCAAAGUUACCUCUACAGUUGCUAAAGUUGAAUCAGGUUGAACAUCCGUGCCUCUACAGCUGUCCAACCAUAGUUGCUUUUGUAAACCAUAGUUGAAAGUUGUCUUUAAAUUCAGGCUUCGGCCUCAGUUGUAGGCAGAACUGGUUUUACCAGCUGCAUUUUAUUUUCCUAGUUUUAAAGAUUCUCUCUGAAACACCUUUAGAGAAAUCACGCUUGUACAUAGUCUAAGUGUGUUAAGUUUGCAGUUGCAACCUCUGUGAGUAUAAUAAAAGUUGCUAUUUUUAAAUUAUUCUAUUAUAUAUAUAUAUAUAUAGAUGAAAGGUAUGCAAAAAAUCAUCAGGCACAUGAAAUGAUUGGUACUGAAGGGGCACUGAGAGGAGAAGCAAUGAGGGCCACUAGCUUGUACCAAAUCACAUGGGUUUGUUUUCGUGCUCAUGUAACCCUUCCGCAAGAGAUUUCUCAUGAAAAUGAUCAAACUCUAUCCUUGUGUAGAAAUAGGAUUCCCUACCUAGCUAGCUCCUCUGGUUAACAGACAACAAAAGGGACCACCAUGUUCUUGAAAAAUGAAUUCAUUGCGCCUCUGGUUAAUUAACAGUACUGCAUAUGGUAUGCCCUACAACAAAAACUUGUUAGCUUGUGUGAUAAACUAGUAGUCUCUUUCUUUUUCAUCUUUUUAUAAAUGCUGCUUCAAAAGACAAGAAUUUGUGGUGCUAUGAGAAUAUACAUGGACCCUCGGAUGCUCUAUGAUUUGGUUGGUUGGGAGCACCAAACCACCCCUUGCAUGUGGCUUUGUCUUUCAUCUAUGAUAUUCAGGCCCAACAAGCAAGGGAAGUCUUUCAUUUGUUUGAAGAAUUGAUACUUACUGAGAAUGCAGUAGGUAAUGAGUACAUAUCUAAAAAGCAUAUGAUAUCAAGAGAGUGCUAAUCUGUAGCAAUUAUAAAUGUUGGAUACAUACUUUUUACUUAAAAGUAAAACAUACUCAUAGACUUGCUGUAUAUAUUCCUUGUCUCUCAAGGACUUGAUUCUUGCCUAGAAUAGGAAAUCCUUUGUGUAGACACCAAGCAAAGCAUUGUAUAUAAUUAUCACAUGAUUGUUCAAUGAAAAUCAUCGAGAAUAUUCAAAACCUUUCAUGGUAUCAAGAGCCUGAGACUCACAGUCCUCGAUCCUCAAUUUUCUUGUUCCCUGUCUUUUUUUUUUCUUUUUUUUUUUUUGGCACCAUGGCUUCUUCCUCCUCUAUUGAUUUUCCUGGCAUUCAUCAUGUUAUCUCCAUUCGUAUCAAGCGUGAUAAUUAUUUGACAUGGCUUGCUCAAAUUGUUCCUAUCCUUCGCAUCCGCCGCUUACUCAGCUUCGUUGACGACACUUCUCUAUGUCCUCCGACCAUUCCUGACCCAAAUGCUAAGGCCGAUGAAUUUUCUUUUCUGUCUCUCCUCCCCAACCCAAAGUAUGAUGAUUGGUGUUUACACCAUAAUGAACCGAGCAGACCCAGCACCAAAGUGACUAGUACCAAGGCAGCCACGCCUUCUCCUGUGCCGAAGGAAGACACACUUCCGAGGUGCCAGACACCAUAAUGAACCGAGCAGACCCAGCACCAAAGUGACUAGCACCAAGGCAGCCACGCCUUCUCCUGUGCCGAAGGAAGACACACUUCCGAGGUGCCAGACACCUACCGAAGCUCCCAGCUGCCAAACCUAAUCUCCAGGACACGUGUCGCCACCACGACGACUUGCACAAAGUCCCACAUCGGAACUUUGUGCAAACCUCCUACUUUCACCUCCCUAUAAAUAGGGAACAGUACCCAGGUAAAAAGGGUAACUAUUCUCCCACUUUUACUGUUACUCUGCCAGAAUUACUACUUGUAACUGACUUAGGCAUCGGAGAGCCUUCGGCCGGCACCACACCGAUGUCCGAAGCUUAACGAUUGCUUCUCCCACUUUGUCUUCUGCAGGUUUCCCAUCAACCUAUAUUUCACCAAGGGCCUCAGCUCUCUUCCCUACCGAAGACCCCGCAUACCUAAUCACUAAGUUGGACUCACUAUUGGCCGGGCCAUUUUGAGCAUCAACAAUUGGGUCCAGAAAGAUCAGCUUGUUUUCUCUCUCUCAUCAACGGUUCCUUUCACCAUAAAGUUCUCACCACCAUAGCUUCCAAGACCACCGCGUGUGACACUUGGGUAGCCCUUGAAACUCGUUUUGCUUCUCCAAAUCAGAAUCGUCUUCUUCAACUUCACAGUAACUUGCUUCGCACAACCCGUGGUGAAUCUUCCAUCACUGAUUUCCUUAAUCGUAUUAACUCGAUUGACGAUAACUUGGCUCUAGCAGGUGCUUCAGUUGCUAACUCUGAUCUCCUUGUUGUGGUUACGAACAACGUUUGUCCUCUUUAUGAAAAUACCAUUGCCGAUACUCAAGCUCGUGAGAAACCCAUCAAUAUGCCUGAUCUUGAUGCUUUCCUCUUGUCUGUGGAACGUCGCCUGUAAUUAUCUUCUUCUCUGGUCAUCUAUUCUGGUGCGACAGCUAUGGAAGCUUCCCACGGUGGUCUCGGUGGACGCGGUUUUGGCGAUCGCGCUGGGUUUGCUGGUCGUGGUCCUGAUCUUCGCAACUCAUUUUCUCCCUCACGACCUGGUUUUACUUCUGGUCGCGGUUUCCCUGGCGCUUCUUAUGACGCCUCUAGUCCUGCCUCACAUCAACAACGUUUUGUAGCAAUUUUGAGCCGAGUGUUCUUGGCCCACCUCCUUCUGGUUCUACUGCUUCCUCUUUUGGGCCUCAUUCUGCCUGUGGGCCUCUUCAAUGUUUCAAUUGUCAUGGUUUUGGCCACAUCGCAGCUGUCAGUCCUUCCAAGAUGUCUUCUGUGCCUUCUCCUCCGUCUCGUCUUCAAGACAUGACUGCUCAAUAUCCUUCACAUGGUGGCCAUCAACAGUGGGUUGCUGAUACCGAUGCAAACACUCAUUUUACUAAUGACCUGAGCUGCUUAUCCCUUGCUAGACAGUAUCAUGGUUCUGACAAUGUUGAAGGUGUGCUUGGUGGAAUAGGUUUGCCUAUUAAAAAUAUUGGUCACUCUCAUUUCUCUCACCUUAAUUCUUCUUUUCAUCUUAAUGAUAUUCUUCAUUGUCCCGAUGCAUCUCUUCCUCUUUUAUCUAUUCAUAAAUUUCCUACUAACAAAAAUUGUUUCUUCACUUUUUUUCCUGAUUGUUAUUUUAUCCAGGAUUUGGGGACGAGGAAGACACUUUUCUUGGGCAAGAGUAGUAAUGGCCUAUAUCCCUUUUCGUUUACUCCGAAUGAGUUUUUUCAAGUUUUGCGUGAUCGCGUUGCUUUACUAGGUGUCUGUGUUGACCACUCUAUGUGGCACUCUCACCUUGGUCAUCCUGCUUCGUCUACCAUUCGAGAUGACGUGCGAGUCAAGCUAUUGAAGUCUCGGAAGAACAACGAGCCUUUCGUGGAUGCGAAUGAUCUUGAUGCUAGGAUCAUCACCUUCCGUCCUUUUUACUUCUCCUUGGGCUUCAAAUUCCCGCUGUCAAAGCUUUUCAAGGAGGUGUUCUGCGCCAUGGGGUGUGCUCCGAGCCAGUGUACUCCAAACGCUUACCGAGCGAUCAUGUGCUUUGAGAAUUUGAGUCGUUUCUUCAUGUUGGAGCUGACGGUGCGAGAGUUCUUUUAUUUUUUCGAAGUGAGGCACUUCGAGCAGUAUGCCCAAGUUCGCGUCUACAAGGCCAAGCUGUUCAACAGUCUUAGUCAAGGGGAUCACGCUUGGCAUGACGACGUGUUGGAGGUCAGCGGACGGUGGGAAGGCGACGUCGGUGACAGCCCACUUGUUCCCAUCACCUAUUGCGAUGGUAUGUCUCUUUGCAAUUUUUGAUGCGCUCCUGUUAUUUGAAUUUCUUGAAGUGUGGCUGACUAACUUCUGUCUUCUGCUUGCAGUGAGUGACAUCAGCAAGCAAUUGGAGCUUGGGCCGGACAUGGCUAAGGUCCGUCGUGUUUUGAACAUCCCUCUAAGGUUUUGCGAGUGACGCUGGCUGUUGAGUGAGUACCGGGAGGAAGACGGUGGUUUGCCCCCUGCCGAGGAUGUCGAAAGGUGGAAGCAGAACGGUCCUGACCCUGAUGAUCUGCUUGGCGGACAAGAAGAAUGUUCUGCUGAAUCUCUCUCAAAGAGAAAAGCUGCUGCCAAAUCUUCAAGAGGUGAAGCUACUUCUUCGCACGCGAAGGAUGGGUCUCAUUCGAGGAAGAAACCAAGGCUUCCUUCUGCUGAGAAGACUCAAGUAGGGUAUGUUCCCUUAUCAUCUGCCAGGGUCAAGCAUCUCGUGGGUGCAGAUAGUACGAAGGUUGGUGGUAUGCGCGGUAUUCGGGGUGUUCUACACGAGCCUCCUGCUGACACGCUCGACAACCAUGAUAUGUUUCGUGAAACGGCUCGUGCUCGACCUAGUUCUGUCGAGCGUCAAAAAGAUGCAGGCAUUCCUCCUAGAAGUUCAAGUCGUCUGCAUCGGUCAAAAGAUGGAGAUCGAAACGGGAGGUCUGCUCAUGAUCCAGCAUUAUUGACUCCUUUGGAGAUGAAGUUAGCGGAAGCUAAGAAGAUGAGAGAGUCAUAUGCCCGAGUUAAGGGUUUUUCCUCCACGUCGGCAGUUGGUCCUAAGGUGAACUAGCCUAGCUCUGUAGGGGAUGCGAUCUGCUUAAGACGAACUUCCUAUCAAAUCCGUCGUCCUGUGCUGAGUUGGUUGAUCACAUCCAUCAGGCUGGCGAUCUUGGCACUUUCUCAUGUCUUUCCUUGGAAAAACAAAGGGAAGCGUCAUUCCAUCUGAUUCAAAAAGGACUGAUUUUUGCUGCUGAGACUAUUCGGAACUCAUCUGGUGUUGCCCCCUCUUCUGCCCAACUCAGCGAGUUGGAGAAGAAGAAUGCUGAAUUGGCCAGCCAGCUUUCCGCCGAGCAGGCCCGCUACGAGAAGAAGACGUCUGAUUUGAGGGCGAUGAUAUCUAGGCUGAAAAGCUCCCUUACCGAGAAGGAUUCCGAGCUCAACUCUUCCGCUGCUGAUUUGGUAGUCGAAAAGAUGCCUUCUUUCAUCUUGAGCGUAAGAAUGCGGACAUCUCCCUUAGCUAUGACAAACUCCUGGCUAGAUUUCAUGCCUAUCAUAAGUCUGCUAAAGAAUCCAAGUCUGAAGCCACCAUAGAUGCGUACAAAUUGCUACCUGCAUUGCGCAAAUGAGACUGAUUCCUUGUAUGCGAUUGAUGAUGUAGACAUCGAGAUGCUCUGCCCCGACUCACCCCCUAUGGAAGGGGGAAUUGAAGAGCAGGUAACCAGAGAGGAUGAAGCAGAGGUAGACGCAGUAGACAAGAUGAUGGCAGAUGUCAUGGUUCAGGCAGAUGGAGUUGCUGAAGACGUAGCUAGUCAGGUGGAUGCCGAAGAGGCUGCAGCUUAAAAGUCUUCUGCUGGCGUCUCCAAGUAGAUGAAGACUCUUUUUUGUUUCUUUUCAGCUUUUGUAGUUUGCUUUUUUGUUUAGAAUAACUGGUCUUAUUUGACCAUCUUCUUUUUGUUAAACUUGGCCGGUUGGUCUGUUUGUUAUGAAAAUUUCAGUUACAUUUUCCAACUUCAACUUGCAUAUUUGUCUUGUGAACUGCUUGAGUAACCAUCCUAUGUUUUAAUUGCACGUCCUCCUUUAGAGAUUUGUGAGUACCAGGGUCCCCCUUGAAGGACUCCGGGCAUGCACUGCAAAUCCCAUAGGAUGAUUCCCCUUAGGAAGUUGGCGAGCACCAGGAUCCCCCUUGAGAGACUCGUGUGUGUUCUGCACAUCUCUAGGAUGAUUUCCCUUAGGAAGUUGGCGAGCACCAGGAUCCCCCUUGAGAGACUCCGGGUGUGUUCUGCACAUCCCGUAGGAUGAUUCCCCUUAGGAAGUUGGCGAGCAUCAGGGUCCCCCUUGAGAGACUCCGGGUGUAUUCUGCACAUCCCGUAGGAUGCCUUGGUCGUCGCCCUGCGUCUCCCGUAGGACGCUACUUAUGGGCAACUACAUGAUUAUCUCGCCUCCCUUAGGAAACGGAUAGGAACCUAGAUAUUUCCCGCAGGAAGCAUGGAGACCUCCUUUUAAGAAAUUCCUGACGCACCCUGCGUCUCUCUUAGGACGCUUUUUUAGCGGGCUACGUCUCCAAACGGACGCGUUUUGUCAUCACCCUGCGUCUCCCUUAGGACGCUCCUUAUGGGCAACUGUGUGACUAUCCUGCCUCUCUUAGGAAACAGAUAGGAACCUGGAUAUUUCCCGCAGGAAGCAUGGCGACCCCCUUUUAAGAAACUCAUGGCGCACUCUGCGUCUCCCUUAGGACAUUUUUUUAGCGGGCUGCGUCUCCAAACGGACGCUUUUAGUCGUCGCCCUGCGUCUCCCUUAGGACGCUCCUUAUGGGCAACAGUGUGACUAUCCUGCCUCCCUUAGAAAACGGAUAGAAACCUGGAUAUCUCCCUUAGCAAAUUCCUGGCGUACCCUGCGUAUCCCGAAGGACGCUGCUUAUGGGCAAAUAUUGUGUUUCGUGGGCAGAUGAGACAUUUUGGAAUGAGAAACUGAACUUAUAUUGAUAUCAUAAGAUUACAGUCCUUUAUUCAAAAAUGGAAACAACUUGGUACAAAACUUAGAACUUCUAGCAGUCAGGAGGAGGUGCUACGGAUAAUACUUUCGAAGAUGGUGAGCAUUCCUUUGUCAUGGUAUUUCCUUCCCCUCCAUAGUGUCGAGUGUGUAGCUUCCUCUACCCCCAGACCGGCUGAUCAUGUAAGGACCCUCCCAGUUAGGAUUCAUCUUUUUUGACCCUUGCCUCGGUGUAGUAAUGAAAGUCUUUCUUAGCACGAGGUCGCCUGGUUGAAACUGUCUGACCUUAGCUCUUUUGUCGUGGUAAGACUUCAACUGUUGCUGAUAAGAGGCGACCCGGAUAAUGGUCUUCUCACGUUCGCCUUCAAGUAAGUCGAGGUUGAGCCUCAUCUGCUCGGAGUUCUGAUCAUCUGAUGUGGGGUGGUAUGAUCGCUUCUAUUCCAUAGGCGAGGGAGAAUGGGGUUUUACCAGUCGAUCUUCAUUUGGUGGUGCGAUAAGCCCAUAGUACUCCGGGGAGUUCAUCCACCCAUUUUCCUUCUGCGCCUUCCAGCCUUUUCUUCAAGCAGUCCAAUAUGACUUUGUUGGAUGCCUCGACUUGUCCAUUUCCUUGUGGAUACCUCGGGGUGGACAAGUGUUGCUUGAUCUUGUAUUUCGCAAAAAAGGUGGUGAUCUACUUGCCAAUGAACUGUGAGCCAUUAUCUGUAACCAGCGACUGUGGGCAGCCAAACCGGCAUAUGAUGUUUCUCCAGAUGAAUCGCUCCACAUCGGCCUCUUUAGUAGAGGAUAGAGCUUCGGCCUCUUUAGUAGAGGAUAGAGCUUCGGCCUCAAUCCAUUUAGUAAAGUAGUCGGUGGCGAGGAUCAUCAUUUCUUUCUUGGCGGGCGCUGGUGGCAAGGGACCCACUAGGUCGAUGGCCCAUUGCAUAAACGGCCAUGGACUGUUUUGCGGAUGAUAGACUUCGGCAGGCAGGUUAGGGAUCGGCUUGUAUCACUGACAGCGAUCACACUUCUUGACAUAUUCAGCGCAGUCGUGACGCAUGGUAGGCCAGAAGUAUCCUAUGUUUAGAGCUUUCUGGGCGAGUGACCUGCCCCCAGAGUGGUUGCCACACUCGCCGUCGUGAAUUUUACAGAGAACCUCAAGUGUUUGAGGGUACUUUAUGCAGGUGAGAUGAGGGCCGGAGUAUGAUCUGUGGAUGAGCUUGGUACCGUGCAUGUAGUAUCUCGCGGCCUUCUGCUGGACCUUUCUAGCUUCGGACUUGUCCGGUGGCAGGUUUCCAUUCGUCAAAUAGUCGAUGAUGGGGUCUUGCCAACUAGGGUCCUCGUCAAUCUGCAUGGUAUCGAUUAGCUCUAUUUCUUCAAUGCUUGGUCAGUCAAGGUGUUCGACCGGGAUGGAGAGUCUGAACUAGGUAUCUAGCGCUGAUCCUAGGCUUGCCAAUGUGUCUGCAUGAGCGUUCUCUGCCCGGGGCACUUGUUGGAUGGUGAAGGUGGGAAAUGCCUUCAACAGCUCUUGGACUUUGUCAAGGUGCAAGAUCAUCUUUGGGUGCUUUGCCAUGUAUUCACCUGAGGCUUGAUUCGUGAUCAAUUGUGAGUCUGAGUAGAUAGCUAGCUUUUUGAUUGCGAGCUCUUUUGCCAAGCGUAGGCCGGCGAGCAAUGCCUCGUAUUCUGCCUCGUUGUUCGAGGCCGGGAAGCCAAGCAUAAUAGCUUGCUCCAACAGGGUUCCAUUCGGAGUGGUGAUGACGACCCCUGCUCCAGCUCCUCUUUGGUUCGACGUUCCGUCUACGCGCAACUGACACAUGUCUCUGGGUUGGCUAGGUUCUGCGGAGGUCCCGUCUGCUUUUGAACUUUCCCUCUUUUGGUUGACCAACUUCACUUUUUCGGCUUGAUGGGGUGAAUUCUACGAUGAAGUCUGCUAAAGCCUGGGCUUUUAUAGCAGUUUUUGGCCGGUAGAGGAGGUCAUAUUGGCUUAGCUCUAUAGCCCACUUCAUGAGUUGCUGAGAAGCAUCAGGGCUGUGGAGGAUUGAUCUCAAAGGAAAGUCGGUCAUGACGAUGACUCGAUGAGCUUGGUAGUAGGGUCGCAGCUUUCUCGCAGAAACUACAAGAGCCAAAAUAAGUUUCUCCAACUUCGGGUAGCGAGUUUCUGCAUCGAGGAGAGCUUUUGACGUGUAGAAUACCGGAUGUUGGGCCCCCAGCUCUUCUCGAAUGAGAGCUGAACUGAUAGCUGAGUUGGACACUGCCAGCUAUACAAACAAGUUCUCACCAGAGACUGGCUUUGAGAGCAGAGGAGGUGAGUUAAGGCAAGUCUUCAGACUCUGGAAAGCUACUUCGCACUCCUCGUCCCAUUUGUCUCUUUGUCCUUUCUUCAAAGCUUUGAAGAAUGGUCUGCACUUGUCAGUUGAUCUCGAGAGGAAUCGGUUGAGGGCCGCUGCUCUGCCCGUCAGACUUUGUAUUUCCUUCACCGUGGAAGGUGAUUUCAUCUCGAGAAUGGCUUUGAUUUGACGUGGGUGUGCCUCGAUACCUCGUUGCGUGACUAGGUAUCCCAAGAAUCGGCCAGAGGAUACCCCAAACGUGCAUUUACUUGGAUUCAACUUCAUGCAAUAUUGGCGGAGCAAGCUGAAUGACUCAUCAAGAUUUCCAAUGUGAUCUGCACGUUUUGGGGCUUUGACCAGCAUGUCAUCCACGUAGACCUCCAUAGUUUUGCCGAUCUGCUCCUUGAAGAUUUUAUUUACAAGCCUUUGAUAGGUUGCUCCGGCGUUCUUCAGCCCAAAGGGCAUGACCUUGUAGCAGUAGGUCCCUCUCUCGAUGAUGAAAGAAGUUUUCGCCUUGUCAUCCUCGUGCAUCAGGAUUUGGUUAUAGCCGGAGUAGGCGUCCAUGAAGCUGAGCAGCUGAUUGCCCGAAGUGGAAUCCACGAGUUGGUCGAUUCUCGGCAAUGGGAAGUUGUCUUUAAGGCAUGCCUUGUUGAGGUCUGUGUAAUCGACGCAAACUCUUCAUUUACCCUUUUCUUGUUUUGCCACCAAAACAACGUGGCAAGCCAUUCUGAGUAGGAGACCUCUUCGAUGAAGCCGGCAGCUAGGAGUUUGUCAAUCUCAGCUUCGAUGAUAGCGACUCGCUUGGGUGCGAAGUUGCAUCUCUUCUGCGCCAGUGGCUUGCAUGCGGGGUUGAUGUGGAGUCGGUGACAAAUGAUGUUCGGGUCAAUGCCAGGCAUGUCUGAUGGCGACCAUGCGAACAUGUCUUUGUUCCUCUGGAGGAAUGUGGUAAGCUCCACAUUUUCUUCUGGGCUUCAGCGCGAGCCGAUCUGCGCUUUCCUGUCUGGCUGGUCAAGAUCCAAGGGUAUUAACUCGACGUCCUCCUCGGGUUUCCAUCCUUCUUCCGGAAAGACCUCUGGACAGAUUUCCUCAGCUUGGCCCUGACGCUUUGAUUUCUAUAAGAUAGCAAGAUUCGGUUGCUCAACCUCCUCCAGAUCCGCCUGGCUCACAGGGAGAAACUACGCUUGUUUGCCUUUCUUCAGCCCUUGGGCGGAGCAUUUCCUCGCCAUUGCUUGAUCGCUGUUGAUUUGGCCGACACCUCCCGUAGGGAUUGGGUACCGAAUUUUCUGAUGUGUGGCGGAGGUGAUGGCAUUGAUCUUGCCAAUCCAUGGUCUGCCCAGGAUACCGUUGUAAGGUGAGACCUCAUUAAUGACCAUGAAUGUUUGCAAGCUGAUCACCAGUGGGGAGUAAACGUCGAGGUCUAUCGUGCCCACGGUAAUCGUUGUUGCACCAUUAAAACCAGUCAGCAAUCUGACUAACUUGUUGAUCUUUGUCUCCAAGCCCAUCUGUUGGAUGACCGCCAGUUGUAGGAUAUUGGCUGCGCUGCCCUCAUCUGCAUGGAUUCGGUCGACCAUGGCCUGAGCGAUUUGAAUGCUGAUGACAAGUGCGUCGUUAUGUGGCGUGUCGAGGCCGAUCAGAUCUUUCUUUUGGAAGCCGAUCACAGGAUCGUCUUCUGCUAGUGGAGGGUCGAUCGAGACUUGGGAGAUCACAGUGGCCUGUUUGAUCUUCCUCUUCUUUUCUUUGCUGGUCAGCCCAGACUCCUCGAAGUCGGCUAGGAUUGUGUUAAUCCUUAUGACCUUCUGAGGCGGCUCCUUGGCGGUGUCUCGAUCUUCAAUCCGUUGGAUGGCCUGCUUCGCAACGAAUUCAGUGCAGUGGCCUUCUCUCAUGAGUUCUUCAAGAUGCGCUUUCCAAGCGGAGCAGUUGUUCGUAGUGUGCUCGUGCGUUUCAUGGAUGGCAUAGUAUUUGCUAGUGUCCCUCUUGUCCGGAUCUCCCUUCAAAGGUGGUGGUCUUCUUACCCAAGGUUUGUUCUUCACUUGGGCCAAGAUUUGAUGUAUGGGGAUGGUGAACUUGGUGUAGUUCUCUCCUCCCGUAGCCUCCCCUUGUGGGUGCGACCUACGCUUGUCUUUGUUUCGGUUGUUAAAUCCGUCGCCUCUUUGACCUGCCCGCUUAGUUGGCUGAUCUUCCUGCUUUGUAGACUUCUUUGCGGCGAUUCGAUCGUCAUCCCAGAGCGCGUAGCGUUCCGCAGUCUCGUAGACCUCUGCCAGCGUCUGGCUGGGAGUGAUAGUUAGCUCGUGGUACAAGUCGUGCUCAGCUGGAAGGCCUUUCUUGAAAGUGGAGGACGCGAUUCGGUCGUCACAUCCUACAAUGUUUGCCUUUUCUGCCUUGAAUCUCUUGAUGUAACCUCGAAGGGAUUCGUCAGACUUCUUGCGCAGGUUGUACAGGUGGUCAAGGUUCUUCUUGAUUGUCCGGUAAGAGGUGUAUUCUUUGGUGAAGACGUAAGCUAGCUCCUUGAAGCUGCUGAUCGACCUGGAUGGUAGGGUGUGGAACCAGUCUUGGGCUGCUCCUCGCAAGGUUAUCGUAAAUACCUUGCACAUUAGCGCGCCGUCAGCCUGGUGGAGGAUUAUAACACUUUUGAAGUGUUUUAAGUGGCUCUCGGGAUCGGAAUCCCCUUUGAAGUGUAUGAACGAGGGUGUCGAGAAUUGCUUCGGGUGAGCGGCCUGCUCGAUAUCGAGGGUGAAAGGCGUAGAGCUCACCUGGUCCAUCUCCUUACGUAGUGAAUCCUCGAAGUUUCCUCCGGUCUUCAAGUCUCGAAGUCGGUCAUUCACGAGCUUCUCAACGUCUUCUGUGCACAUUGCUGGUCGGUUAUGUUGGCGACCUCCACGAUAUUGACUGACUUCCUCAUUGUCCUCCGAGGGUCGACCUUCUCGCCUGAGCUGCCUAGUUGAAGUGUUGGUGGACUGCGCCUGCGAAAGAUUCUCUAUAGCUUGUCGACGAGAAUUGGUUCUUCGAGAGUGAGUAACGGAGCGUCUUUCCUCAUGGUCCUCAUUGUGAGGGUUAUCCAACUGGCCUCCCUGGGGGCCUAGCCUUUUGAGAGCGCUUCUCUGUGAGUUGACAGCUGAGCGCCUUUCUUCGCGAUCCUCAUUGCGAUGGUUGUUUGGCUGACCUCCUUGGGGGCCUAGCCUUUGAUGUACAUUUCCCUAGGGGCCCAAGCGGGCGCGGACGUUGAGUCGUCUACCGGCGCGUUCGUCCAUCCUUCUCUCCUUGCCCGGUGGUCCAUGGCCAAGGUUCUGAGCAAAGCCUAUUUGGUUGAUGAGCUGCCUCAUUAGAUUGCUUUGGUCGUCCACUCUCUGAGCUAGCUGGUCAACUCUUAGAUUAAGGUCUGCUUGACUUCGUGGAUCGGGAGGAGAGAAGUGUGUGGAGCCCAACUGCACACGGGCUAGGUUUUCAUUGGAGGUGUAUGCAGGAGCGUGCGUUGCGCGUGGAGGCAAUGGAGGGAAUGCUUGGAGUUGCUCCAAGACCGGCCCUAGGUCGGCAGUGGUAACGAGUCCACCUUGAUGGGAAGUUCCGCCAGGUUCGACGGCGAUGGCCGGUGCUGUGGUGAGAGGUGGCGGUGCCACCAUGUCGAUCGCGGGAUCGUGGGUGGAGUGGCUUUGGGUCGUCGCGGAUCUAACCAUCGCGGCGGCUUUGCCUCUUGUGUUCAUGCUUCCAACCAUGGUUGUUUGGAAGGCUUCGGUGGAUUGAAAAAUAGGAGGAACGGAUUCCUUGAGCACGCAUUGAGUAUACCUCGUGCUCUCAAUGAAAGCACCAAUUUGAGGGAGCAAAUUUCCCCACGAGAAUAUUCGCCCAAGAUUCCUUCGUCUUCUCCGCCUCUCUUUCUCCCUGCAAAACAGAUCGGAGUAAAAGACCACACCCGGGGGGUGUUGGCCAAAGGCCCUCCGAUGCCUAAGUUAGGUAGGGUAAUUCAAGGAAAACCGGGUGGCCGGAGCCGUGUGUGGUGGCCGGAGCCUUGUGUAAGAGAGAGAAAGAGAGGAGGUGGCUAGGGUUUUUGAGAAAUAAUUUCUGCAGAGCUUUAGUAAGAAUUUAGGCGUACCUCAACCAUUGUGUGUGGCUAUGCUUUUAUAGUAGUCUCGAAGGCUAGGGUUUCAGAGGAAUAAUUCCGUAGAUGGAAGGGAAUUAUUCCUCCCCUUUUUGGAAUUGAUUUGAUUAAUUAGGGAUUUGAUUAAUUAGGGUAAAUCAAAUCCCUAAUUGUGGUAGGUAUCAAAUCAAAUCCUGAUUCAAUUAGGCAACUCCUCAUUUAAUUGGGGAUCGUGGUAAUUAACCAAAUCAAUUCUCAACCUAAUUAGGUAAUGUUCAAUUUAAUUGGGUAAUUCCCAAUUAAAUUGAGUAAUUCCCAAUUAAAUCGAGUAACUCCCAAUUAGGUUGAUUAAUUCCCAAUUGGGUCAAAUAAUCCCCAAAUGGUAGGAAUUAUUUGACCUAUGGUUUGAUUUAAUUAGGUUCCCACAGGAACCAUGUAAAAAGUUAUAUGGUAAGCAUUUUAAUCAAAUUCUUGUGCAAAUCUACUACCACUUGGGGAUUAAAUAUAUAACAAGAGCUACAAGAAGACAAUACUAUAAAGCAAACCAUAAGACAAGAAAGGAUAAUGAUUUCAAAUAGAUUGUACAUUGCUCCUGGAGAACAAUAAAGAAGUUUACAUAGGUUUAAAAGACAGAAUUUGACUGCCCUUGGGUGGGGGGAUGAUAUUUGGAACAAUGGUUCUAGGGAAUUCAUGAUAUUAUCACUUGUCUGCUUCAUAAAUUUCUAUGUUUCUGCUCAGCCUAGAAGCAGUUUCAGGAUUUGAGAAGGUUUGCUUUCACCACAAGAUGUGAGUUGAUUCCAUGGAUGAGCAGUGGUAGCCUCUUCUUCAUCCCAACUCAGUGAGUUCUGAAAUGAGGAUGCUUUGGAUAUAAUCAUAUCCAAAUUCUUUCAUCUUGGCUCAGUGAGCUCUGAAAUGAGGAUGGUUCGGAUAGAUUGGAUGACCGAUUCGUAUACACUCACACACUCAAGCGGGAAGUGAGAUCAAGGAAGGUGUUUUCACUGCAGGGGAUUGUGAUACCUCCCAUGGGAUGAUCAUAUCCGAAUUCUUCUUCAGCUUGACUCAGCAAAUCCAGGAAUAAAGGCUCAUUCAAAUAUGAUAUCGGAAUCACAAACCGCUUCUUCUGGCUCUCCCCAACAUAGACUGCAAGGUAGCCUUUUGGGAUAUCUAAAGUCUUUGAAUCUGCUGUCUGGCUUGAACUAGAUAGAGAUCGAAUGAGACUUCUCUUUGCAUUAACAAUUGCAGGCAACCGGAAACCCAUGAUCUUAUAUAUUCUCAAAGGACAAAAGAAGAGAGGGAAUUCAAAGGACUUGGAUUUGGAAAGCAGAGAAAGCUUUGGUGCUUGAGAAGGUGAAGACUUGAGUUGCUCAUGAUGAACUUGGUCAUGUGUAUAUAUAGAUCAAGGGUAUCCAGAAAAUCAACAGCUACAUGAAAUUAUUGGUCUGAGAUGGGCUCCAAUGAGGGACACUUGAUUGUGAGAAAUCACAUGGGCUUGUCGUCCUUCUCACGCAACACAUCCUCGAAAGAUUUCUCACGGAACUCUUCCCUACCUCCUCUAGGUAACAGACAACAAAAGGACCACUAGAGGUGAUUCAAUCCAAAAGACUUAUGUCUGUUAGGUAAGUAGCAUUUAUGCUUGAGACAUGCACUUCUCUUUGUUCACACUAAAUCAACUGACCACAUAAUUGGACUAUUAAACUACAAAGUUUCUUGAAUAGGUCUGCUAAUGAAUUGCCCUCUCACUUCAUCAAAAGACCAACAACACUGCAUAUGUUGUGGUCCUACCCAACACUAAUACAAUUGUGUUGUGUGGUGCUAAAUAGCUUGCUUGGGAGCAGCAAGGCACCCUACAUGUGGCUUUGUAGUUACGACUCUGAUCUUCAGUCUCAGCAAACAAAGGAGGUAUUUAUUUCAUUUUGUUAGGCCAAUCUGGACUUAACCAGAAAACACUAUUGAUUUAAAUAGUUGACAUUACUUGAUCAAGAAAACUGAAGUUAAUAAAUUGAACUUAAGCUACUCGGUCUAAACUCAAUUUUUAAAAAACCAUUUUCCAUUACAACUCUUGGUUUAACAAAACCAUUGCCAGUCUUGUUUUAGGCAAGUUCGGCGAAAAGCCUACUAGAGAAAUCUAGAAAAUUCUAGAGAGAAGGAGAAGCUAGGUUGAUAAUCUCUUCUUGCCUUUGCUUAUGGCAACAACUGAAGAAGCCAUGUAAACUUGGCUUGCACUCUCUAGCAUAGGGAAAGUCGUGCAUAUAUAUUGUGCCAUUUUUUUAUGAAAGAAACUUAGUUGUUCGGCUCAGUGUCUCUCUAUAUUAACUCAUGAUGACUCUCCUCCUUAUUAUUCUUUCAGUCCAUUGAGAGAUGUUAAGCAUACUGUGCUUAAUAUAUUAUUAAAUUAUCAGAUACAGUCAUUUUGGCCCCAUGGAUAAAGGAAGUACAAAGUAAACCAUUAUACUUUCAUUUUCUGAAAAAUAUGCUGUCAUUGAUGAUUUUAUUUUAUGACAGAGCUACAAGUACAAUGAAAAAUAAGACAAGAAAGUGGAUCAGGAUUUAAAUUUGCAUUCCAAUAUAUUUUCCUGGAGAGUAACAAAGGUUACACAUCAGAAGAUCAUAGCAUCCAACCCAAAUGUGGAGAGGCCCAAGAUCUUUUAUACUACAAUGCACGUCUUUAAGUUCCGUAUGUACUCUCAAGAACAAUAGUUCAAAAUUUCAAUCAUGAUUUUGGACUAAAGUUUUUCAACGUCCAUAGUAUCUUCGUUUGUCGGAUUCAUGAACUUUUUAACUUUAUGCUCAGAUCACAAGCAGCUUCAGGCUUACAGAUUGCUUCCUCUCAGCACAAGAUGUAAGUCGACUCAGUGGACGAUCAAGAAUAGCCUCUUUCUCAUCAUUACUCAGUGAGUUCUGGAAUGAGGAUGCUUAUACAUGAAUGAAUUUGGAUCAUAGUUUCUUUUCUUUGGUGUGCACUCAUACACUUAAGCGGGAAGUGAGAUGAAGGAAGGUGUCUUCACUGCAGGGGAUUGUGAUACCACCCAUGGGAUGAUCCUAUCCAAAUUCUUCUUCAGCUUGACUCAGCAAAUCCCGGAACAAAGGCUCAUUCAAAUAUGAUAUUGGAAUCAAAAACCGUUUCUUUUGGCUCUUCCCAACAUCGACUGCAAAAUAGCCUUUUGGGAUAUCUAAGGUCUUUGAAUCAUCUGUCUGACUUGAACUAGAUAGAGAUCGAAUGAGACUUCUCUUGGCGUUAACAAUUCCAGGCAACCGGAAACCCAUGAUUUAGUAUUCUCAAGAGGACAAGACAAGAGGAAAAAGAUUGGCAAGGAAUUGGAAAAAACAGAGAGAGCUUUGAUGCGUGGGAAGGAUAGGACUUGAGUAGCUCAUGAUGAACCGAUCAUAGUAUAUAUAUAGCUGAAAGGUAUGCAAAAAAAUCAUCAGGUACAUGGAAUGAUUUGUACCGAAAAGGAACUGAGAGGAGAAGCAAUGAGGACCACUAGCUGUACGAUAGUCAAAGUUUACACUAGCUGUUAUCAUUCUGAGUUUAUCUCUUUCUCAGAUUAGGAAGAGGUACUCUUCUAGAGCAUUUAGCUAGAGAGAAUGAAUAGGAGAAUAUGAAAAAUGCACUGUUCUAUUGAUUUCUGCAAAACUGCAGCUUACAAAGUGUGACUGCUAGGAGAGAAAUGUGAUUCUCUUCUAACAGAAUUACAGCUGUCAUCCUAUUAGAUUCUUACACCUGUCAUAGCAAAUCUAAGCUAGAGAAUCCACCUAGACUAUGAUCUAAUGGCUCUCCUUACAUCAUUUAAAUAAGCUGACCAAAAACAGAACAAAUAGAGAAUAGCUUCAGCUCUAAGAAAUCUGCUGCAGGAUUAUAUUUCAACACUCCCUUCUAAUCCUUUAGCUGAUUUCACACCAAGCAAGCUUCUCAGCCUCACAAACCGAUCCUUAGGUAGAGCUUUAGUCAAGAUGUCUGCUAUCUGAUCUUCUGUUUUGCAGUAUAUCAGUUCAAUUUCUUUUGCUUGAAUGGCUUCUCUGAUAAAAUGAAAUUUCCUGCUGAUGUGUCUUGUCUUUUGGUGAUGGACUGGAUUCCUUGCCAUUGCAAUUGCUGAGGUGUUAUCACAUAGAAUCUGAGUCCCUUCUAUCUGUUCUUCACCAAAAUCUUCAAGCACAAAUCUCAGCCACUUAGCUUGUGAAGUUGCUUCUGCAGCACUCACAUAUUCAGCUUCGGCUGUAGAUAGAGCAACUGUGUUUUGCUUGAUGGAAGCCCAAGAGAACAUGCCUGAGCCUAGUGUGAAGGCAUAUCCUGAGGUGCUCCUCAUAUCAUCUUACUCCCAGCCCAGUCACUGUCACAGUACCCAAUUAGAGUAGCUGUCUUCCCUUUUGCAAACUCAAUUCCAAAAUCCAAUGUGCCUUGAAUGUAUCUCAGCACCCUUUUAGCAGUUCCCAUGUGUUUCUUUGAGGGAUUGUGCAUAAAUCUAGCAAGCAAGCUAGAUGCAAACAUGACAUCUGGUCUUGUGGCAGUCAGAUAAAGGAGACUUCCUACAAUCUGUCUGAAUUCACUUUCAUCUGCUGCUUCACUCCCAUCUUCUCUACACAAUUUCUCAUUCACCACUAAUGGAAUUGCCACUGACUUGCAAUCUCUCAUUCCAAACUUCUCAAGAAUUUUCAUGGCAUAUUUCUUUUGAUGAAUGAAAAUAUGCUUGUCAGUUUGUUCCACUCCCAUGCCAAGAAAAUGAUGCAACAGACCCAAGUCUGUCAUCUCAUAGUGUUGCAUCAUAUCUUGUUUAAAUUCUUCAAGCAUUUUAGGACAGCUUCCAGUGUAUAUAAUGUCAUCUACAUAGAGGGAGACAAUGAUAAUACCUGAGGUGUCACUAGUUUUGAUAUAGAGAGUAGCUUCACUUAAGCUUUUCUUGAAACCUGCAGUGUUGAAAUAGGCAUCUAUUUCAUCAUACCAGGCCCUUGGGGCUUGCUUCAGUCCAUAUAGAGCCUUGUUCAACCUGAACACCUUGGUUUCCUUGCUCUCUUGAACAUAUCCUUGAGGUUGUUCAACAUAAACUUCCUCCUUUAGAAUGCCAUUGAGAAAAGCAGACUUCACAUCCAAUUGAAAUAAGUUCCAUUCCUUUUGUGCUGCAAGGGCUAUCAAAGUUCUGAUGGUGUCAAGUCUUGCCACGGGGGCAAAUGUCUCAUUAUAGUCGAUUCCAGGCUUCUGUGAGUAGCCUUUAGCCGCAAGCCUAGCUUUAUUCUUCUGCACAGUACCAUCUAGGUUCAGUUUGACCUUGUAGACCCACUUAACACCAAUUACUGGUUUGUUAGAUGGCCUGUCAACUAAUUUCCAAGUAUUGUUCUUCUCAAUCAUCUCCAAUUCAGCCUCCAUUGCACAUCUCCAUGAUUCAUCCAAAUCUGCUUCUUCAAAGCUGUCAGGUUCUACAAUGCACAUAUUGCAUUGUGCCAUGAUGUCAUUAAUACUCCUCCACUUGUGAGGUGUGUGAUCAAACCUUUGAGUCUCAUCAAGCAUUUCUUCCCCUUGAGGUGCAAUUUCUUCUUCCAUCUACAUUUGAGUAUCCAAGAACUGAGAGUGAUCAUCUAAUACCCUCUGUUCAGUUUCUGCAGUAUCUUGAUUUCCAUCUGGCAUAGGUAUUCCCACAUCUGCAUUGCUAGGAUUCUCCCAUUUCCAUGAGGCUUCUUCAUCAAAAUAGACAUCCCUAGACAAGAUAAUCUUUCUUGUCUUAGGAUCAUACAGUCUAUAGCCUUUUUCACACAAUCCAUAGCCCACAAAAAUGCAUUUGUGACUGUUUUCUUCCAACUUGUGUCUCAAAACAGAAGGAAUAAGCACAUAACAUAGGCAUCCAAACACUUUCAAGUGUGCAAUACCUGGCUUUCUUCCUGUGUAGGCCUCAAAUGGUGUCAUUUUCUCAAGAGAUUUAGAAGGACAUCUGUUGAGAAGGUAGACUGCUGUAUGAACAGCUUCUGCCCAAAACUCAUAAGGAAGAUUCUUUUCAUGUAGCAUAGACUUUGCCAUCUCAAUUACUGUCCUGUUCUUCCUCUCAGCAACUCCAUUUUGCUGAGGAGAAUAUGCCACUGUCAGCUGCCUUUGUAUUCCAGCCUCACUGCAGUAUGCAAGGAAUUCAUUUGACAUGAAUUCUCCACCUCUAUCACUUCUAAGUGACUUCACUUUGUGUCCACUCUGCAAUUCUGUCAUUGCUUUGAACUUCUUGAAACAUUCAAAAGCAUUAGAUUUAUUUCUGAGAAAAUAAACCCAAGCCAUUCUUGUAUGGUCAUCAAUGAAUAAUAGGAAAUAUCUGUUUUCUGACAUUGAUGCAGUCUGCAUUGGACCACAGAUGUCAGUGUGAACUAAUUCUAGUGGAGACUGAGCUCUCCAAGUAGAUUUUGCAGGAAAUGAGUCUCUAUGCUGCUUUCCCAACUUGCAGCCUUCACACACUGCUAAGUCCUUCUCCAGACUAGGCAGUCCAUGAACCAUGUCUUGAUUUGCUAGCAUCUUGAUGCUUUGAUCAUUAAGAUGACCCAGCCUUUUAUGCCAAGUCUGCAAACUGUGAGUCACACUUGCUCUCAGCACCAACUGAGUAGCAGGUACCAUUGUGAGAGAGAAACUGUCACACCCCGGACCGGCUCCGCCGUAGCACGAUAUUGUCCGCUUUGGGCCCCCCUCUCUGCCCUCACGGUUUUGUUUUUGGGAGCUCACGAAGCAACUUCCCAGGGUGGUCACCCAUCCUGGGAUUGCUCCAGCCUCCCACUCGCUUAACUUUGGAGUUCUUACAACUCUGAAGCCAGUGAGCUCCCAAAAGGCCUCGUGCUACGGCGGAGCCGGUCCGGGGUGUGACAAUUUGGUAUCAGAGCCACUCUGCCGUGUGGUGCGAGUGUGCCGACGAGGACGUCGGGCCCUUAAGGGGGGUGGAUUGUAAGAUCCCACAUCAAACCAACGGAGAGGGGGGUGAUGUGCCUUAUAUGGCACACCCGCAUCCAUCUAGCACGAGGCCUUUUGGGAGCUCACUGGCUUCGGAGUGGUAGGAACUCCGAAGUUAAGCGAGUUGGAGGCUAGAGCAAUCCUAGGAUGGGUGACCCACUGGGAAGUUGCUCGUGAGUUCCCAGAAACAAAACCGUGAGGGCCAGAGAGGGGGGGCCCAAAGCGGACAAUAUCGUGCUACGGCGGAGCCGAUCUCGGGAUGUGACAGAAACACCUAUUGCUAGUCAUUGGAACCUUAGCUAUAGGGUUUUGCAGUGACCAAUCAUCAAAAAUUGUCACCAUUCCCUUUCCAAAUACUAAACAAUACCCAUGUUCCAUCAUCUGACCAACACUUAGCAAGUUCUCUUCUAAACCAGGCACCAACAUCACUUCUUGAAUGUGUUUUCUGCCUGAUUUGGUUUCUAUCACAAGAGUACCUUUUCCUGCAACUUGAACUGUCUCUCCAGUCCCCAUUUUCACCUUGGAAGUUACAUUCCUUCGAAUGUCUAUCAGUAGCCUUUCAUCUCCAAUCAUAUGGUUGCUACAGCCACUGUCCACAUACCAAGAGUUGCUCAUUUUCACAUCUGUCACAGCAUUGCAUGCAUAAAACAAUGUUCCAGUUUCUUCAACCUGAUUGGCAUAGUUCACCUUUUGCACAGAUUGAUUGUCAUGACAAUUUCUAACCAUGUGACCAAACUUUCCACAUCCUCUGCAUUUUGGUUUUCCUUCAAACCAGCACUUGCCAUAGUGCAGUUUUUCACAGUGCUUGCAGGGUGUUUUAGUUCCAUCAUUUGAUGCAUUUGGUUUGGUAUUUGAAUUGGACUUGUUAUUCCAAUUCUUCCUAUUUUCCUUCCAGUUCUUCUGAGACUUGUUACAUCCAGAAGAACUUCCAUUCUUAGAGCUUUUACUCUCAAUGUUCAGACUAGUGAAAGCCUUUUCUGUUGAAUUUUCAUUGUGCCUGUCUAAUCUGAGCUCAAAGUUCUUGAGAGAUGCAACCACUUCUUGAAUUUCAAGAGUGUCAAGAUCCUUUGAAUGCUCAAUCACAGAACAUAUAGAAUCAUAAGAUCUAGGCAAACUAAUAAGCAAUUUCUGCACAACUCUUUCUCUAGGUAACUCUUCACCAUAAUUCUUCAUUUGAUUUAUCAGAUCAAACAGUUUAGCAGCAUAAACAGAAAAUGAUUCACUAUCCUUCAUACGAGUGUAUUCAAACUCUCUACGUAAGCCUUGUAGUUUCACACUUCUUACCUGUUUAUCACCUCUAAACUCCUGCUUCAGGAUAUCCCAUGCACCUUUUGAGGUUUCUUCAUUCACUAUUCUGGGAAAAAUUUGGUCUGAGACUGCACCUUGGAUCAGUCCAAGUGCACGAGCAUCUUUCAUCAAGGUCUCAGCUGAUACAGAUUUCUCUUCUUCAGCAGCUUUAGAUCCCUCUUCCUUUCCUUCUUCCUUCGUUGGAUCUGAAGCAUCAAAGCCAUUUUCAACUAAAUCCCACAGUCCAUGAGAUUUCAGAAUGGUCUUCAAUCGAAUGCUCCAAAACUUAUAGUUUUCUCCAUUGAAUACUGGUGUACGAAGCUCAGAAGAGCUUGAUCCUGCCAUAUUAGACAUCAGACGCAGCUAGACAAGCUUCGUGAAGUUUUGAGUGAGCUCAAUCGUCAGCUCAGCCAAGCACCAGCUCCUUCUUCACAGAUUCACGCCCAAUAAACAAUCAAAACCUGGCUCUGAGGCCAUGUUAUCAUUCUGAGUUUAUCUCUUUCUCAGAUUAGGAAGAGGUACUCUUCUAGAGCAUUUAGCUAGAGAGAAUGAAUAGGAGAAUAUGAAAAAUGCACUGUUCUAUUGAUUUCUGCAAAACUGCAGCUUACAAAGUGUGACUGCUAGCACUACUACAAAAAGUGAAAAAGACGACCAGAAAACAACGACGGUCUAAGUGAAAACCGUCGUGGUUUUUAAAAAGACGACGGUUCUAAAAACACCGUCGUGUAAUACAACCUUAGACAACUAAAAAAUGGAGAUUCAAAUGGCUGUUCAAAAACAACGACGUACAUAAUUAAACAACCGACGUCUAUUUGAAACAGAUUUCCGCAGUGUAAAAUCAAUGCCAACAAAGAACAGCAGAAGUUAUGAAUCGACCGACGUAGAAAGUAAAGACGACGAUUUCAAUAAAAACCGCCAUUUUUACUCAUAAAAUAACACGACGAGGUUUUCGUAUAAGACGCCGUAUAAUUACAAACAAAUCCAUGGCUUUAAAAUACAAAAUAUCGCCGUAUUAAAUUAAUGUACAACGACGGAAAAUAUAAAUAUAUGGACGUCAUUCUCGUAUAGUUCUACGACGUUAUCUUUAAAUCGUACAAUAAAAUUUAACAUCGUAUUUAUUCAUUUUAUACGUCGUACAUGUCGUCUUAAUAAGAAUUUUUGUUAACAAUUUUUUUCUUUGAUUUUCUUAUCCUACGUCGGUAGAUCUACUUAAUGACAAGAAUUGAAAUAACCACGACGGUUUAUAUAGAAAACCGCCAACAUAAUCAGAUUUGUCUGAGAUCCCAAGGGUUACGAAAUCUUACCAGAUGGAACUCUGUUCCACAUCAUAAUCUUAACAGAUGACACUGAUUUGCAUUCAGAGAGACAAUUUUUUGGAAGUUGAUGAUGUGUGUGCGUUUGUGUAUCUACAAAUAUUAUACCUAACGUCGUUGCAAAUUUGCAAUCAGAGAGACAAUUUUCAACGACGGUUAUAUUAUACCUAACGACGUUUAAAAAACAAAUCAACGUCGCUAAACAAAUAUAUUAUGUCGUCUUAGUCUUACUUAAGACGACGAAAAACGACGACAGUAAUAAAAAACAGUCGUUGUUUUUAUAUUCUUAUUUUAUUUAAAUCUGUCCUCCAAAAAAGAAACUUUACAUAUUCCAGAACAUUAAUUUCCUUCAUUUUAAAUUUCCCCCGGAAAAAAAAACUCUAUUUAUAACGCACUGUAAUUGAAAAAUAAACUGAAAGGUCACGGGAAAAAAAAUUCUAUUCAUAAUUUAAAAAUUCAAAUCCACGUCGGUUAUAUUAAACAUAACGACGUUAAAUGAAAAGAUUCCACGUCGCAAAACAAAUAUUGCGUCGUGUUAGUUAAAAACGACGGCAUAACAAAAAACCGUCGUUGUUUCAAACUGAAUUAAUUUAUUCGGGAAAGCAAAAUCUAUUUAUAAUUUCCUCGGGUUAGUAAUAUUGCGUCGUGUUAGUUUACAAAUUCAAGAACAUUAAUUUCCCUCAUUUUAAAUUUCCUCGGGAAAGAAAAAUCUAUUUAUCACGCUUUGUAAUUGAAAACUAAAACUGAAAGAAUUCGGGAAAAAAAACUCUAUUUAUAAUUUAAAAAUAAAAUCCACGUCGGUUGUAGUACACUUAACGACGUUUAACAAAAUAAUCUACGUCGGUAAUUAUAAAUCUACCGCCAUCUUACCUUAAUAUAGACGACGAGAAAAGACGACGGUAGAACAGAAAACCGCCGUUGUUUCAGUUUCUUUAACAGUUUGGUCCUUUAUCUUUCUGCAGGACUUGUAUAGUUCAAAGCAUUGACAAUGUCUUCAUCAUAUCUCCCAGCAACUACUGAUUCGAUUGCUCAUGCUUUAGAGGCCAUCUGAAGCCAUUUCUAUUCUUUAUCGCAUUCUUGAAACCCAUCUUCUUCUUCUGAAGCUCUACGGAUAAAGGAAGAGGCUAUCACAAAUCUGACGGAUCUUCUUAGCCAAGAAAAUCAAGCAGAUUUCCCUGAGAAGCGAACUUUCCUUCGACAGCGAGUGGAGGCCAGGCUUGCAUCUCUUUUGAUGGAAAGCAAGGAGUAUUCAGAAGCACUAAGUGUCCUAUCAGGCUUGAUCAAGGAAGUGAGAAGGCUAGUUGACAAGCUUCUUCUUGUGGACAUAUAUUUGAUGCGAGUAAGCUCAAUUUCUCUUUGAGAAAGACAUCCAAAUUAUUGUCUUUGAGACGUGAGAGACUGAGAGAGGAAGAACUUGGAACCGUAAAUGUAAACCGAAAAUGAAUGAAAGCGACAAAUUUAUAGAAUAAAUUUUUAAAACCAACGGCGGUCCUUACAAAAAAACCGCCGUUUAAAUUGUAAAAUCAACGUCGGUAUGAUCGACGUAUAUUACAGAAAUCCACGUCGGUACAUUAAUAAAAACGACGUGUUAAAUAAUCUACCAUGACGCGAGUUAUUACUUAUGUACUUUAAUUUUUGAGUUUACUACGAUGGUACCUACAACACUACUGUCGUAUUUAUUUACCACGUCCGAAGUUAAAUGUACCGUCGUAUUUUGUAAUUUAUACGUCGUAGUUAUAUAUAACCGCCAUAUUAUUUUUUUGAAAUGGUUUUAUAUGUAAGCAACUUUUCGUCUACCUGACAUACACAUGCGCUGUUUCCAAACCCGAUUAAAAAUUUCAAUCUCCCAGAGAAAACUUUUAGACUUUUUUCCUUGUCAGAGCACUGUCAGAGUAUCUCAUCGUCUUCCUCUCGUCUUCUUCGUCGUCUCUGAACUUAAACAUAAUCUUCCUCUUGCUUUCAUUAUACGCAAAAGGUAAGCUUUCAUUUUCACUAUUUUGGUUGCUGUUUUGCAUGCUCAUACGUUUUUUGUUUGAAAAAUCUUUUUACCUUUUUUCUGGCCAAAAUCAUUUUACUUCUUUCCAAGUUCGAUAAAAUAUACAGACAAAGAGGGAAAGUUUCCAACUUUGAAGACAACUACCUCAACUAAAUAAGACGACGGUAGCUUCUUAUUUACGUGGUUAAAUAUGUAGACCACGACGGUUCGUCAGUCGUUCUAGCGUCGUCUGAAAAUUGACAAAGUUGUUUUUAAAAUUAUAGUCUUUUUUUUAUUUGCUUGUUUAAUUGCAGGUUUGAUUUCUCUGAACAAUGGUUUUUGUUUUUCCCUAAUUUGAUAAAAUAUAAAGAAAAAGAAAGUAGGGUUGGUAUCUAAUAUAGACGACAGUAUCUUAUUGUUUUACGUCGUGUGAAUGUUAAUACCACGACGUCAUAUUAAAAUACCGUCGUCUAUAUAAGAUUCCAAAACUUUCUUUCUUGGCCUUGUAUUUUAUCAAAUUAGAAAACAAAAACCAUGGUUCAGAAAAAUCAAAUCUGCAAUCAAACAUUCACAGAGAAAGAAAGAAGGGUUUUGGAUCCUUAUAUAGACGACGGUAUAUUACUACUGACGUCGUGUAAACAUCAAUACCACGACGUUAUAUAAAUAUUUCGUCGUUUAUAGUUAAUUAUCACGUCGUUUAUAGUUAAUUAUUUCGUUGUUGUUUAAUUACCUUGGUUUUAAACAUUUAUUACGUCUGAGAUUAUUUCAUUGCGUCGUUUAAAAUCAUAUCAUACGUCGUAUUUUAUUAAUAACCGUCGUUUGUGUUCUUAAUCUUUUCCUGAAAUAUUUUCACUUGCAGUUUUGUCUGUAAAAAUGGUUUCUCACCAAGACCAAAGUAAGGAUUCUGGCUCCAAGAAAAAUGGAGGUAAGGAGCUUGGAAUGGUACCUCCUCAAGUGAAGCCUUCGAAGAAGAUGAAGUUUGCUCCAUCAUCUGCUGAGACAGAACCAACCAGCACGACAACAAUCUCUGAUGAUUCAAAGUCUGGUCGAGGUAUGAGCACAAUGCCUCGUGUUGUGAAGAGAAAACUUCAGAAACUGAGGCCAAUUGUUGAGUACAAUAAAAGGGGGAAAGGAAUUGGCCAAGCACAUAGUGAGAUGCAGUCCUACAUUGGUGUGUUGGCACGCUCCAGAGUUCCACUUGUGGACAUGAAAUGGGCUCAAAUCCCCAAGGAUAUAAAGGAGCAGAUUUGGGAAGCAGUUGACAUUGCUUUUGUGGUAGGUCAAGGGGGCAAGAGCUCUGUGUUAGCUUCUGCUGUCAAGAAAUAGAAGGAUUUCAAGUCUACACUAACGAGGCAUUAUAUCCUUCCAUACACCAAUGACAGGGAGAGAUUAAGCCAACCCCCUGAAACAUAUAAAUUCAUAGAGAAAGCACAAUGGGAUGCCUUUGUAGCUUCAAGGUUAUCCAAAGAUUUUGAGUCUGUGCAUUCUCAACAUGCACAGAUUAGGGAGAAACUUGAGUACAAUCAUCGAUUGUCUCGAAAAGGAUAUGCUGGUUUGGAGGAUCAAUUGGAGGAAACCAUGCCUGGGGUAGAAAUUGGUCGAUCUACCUUAUGGAAGAGAGCUAGACAGGACAAACAUGGUAACAUCCCGGAUCCAAAGGUGGCAGAGAAAGCAAAAUUAAUUGUAAGCCUACUCACUCUGUUUUAAAUUUUUAUUCAACUGUGAAUAAUUCUUAUUACGUCUUAUGUUAUAUUUUGCGUCGUGUGAAUGAUAUUACCACGUCGAAAUUUUUUAAACAACGUCGUUAAAGGUCUAAAUAGGAAUCACUACUCUGUUUUCUGUAAUUAUAGCAUAAGAUGUCGGUGGUUCAUUUUCGCGUCGUUUGUAUUGAAUUACUACGUCGAAAUGUUUUAAACAAGGUCGUUAAAGGUGUGAAUAUUGAAUCAUCCCUCUGUUAUCUGUAAAUAAAGCAUAAGACGUCGGAGGUUUAUUCAUUUCGUCGUUUUAAAAACUAACCACGUCGGUAUAACUACCGUCGUGAUAAAUUAUAAUAACGUCGAUUUAUAUGUUAUUGCGUCGUGUGAAAUUAUAUAAUACGUCGUUUGUAUAUAAAUAACCGUCGUGUGUUUUUGUUCUUACUUUUUUAUAUAUCUUUGUUUUAGGAUGAAUUGCAAAAACAAGUCUCGGAAGGCAAAGUCACUGUUUCUGGCAGCAAUGAUGUGCUGACCAUGGCUUUGGGCCCCGAGCAUCCAGGCAGAGUGAGAGGAGUAGGUGCUGGGAUCUCACCAAGGCAAUAUUUCAAUUUACCCAAACCACAGAGAGUGAGCUUUGACGACCGUUUGAAUGACAGUUUAAGAGUUCUCCUUCAAGAAGAGACUAAAAAGAUGGAAGCUAAGGCAAGGGAAGAGGCUUUAAGGAUGGAGGCUAGAACGAAACAAUUGGUAGAGGCUGAGAGGGAGCAUUUCCUGAGUCAGCUUUCCCAAUUAAUUCCCAAUUUUGAUCCAAGCAUGCUUAAACCCAGAAUUAGCCAAAGUCCCAAAAAUCCAAUGUCUGACAAAACAAGCUGCUCUGGAGGUGAUGUGAGAUCCCAGCAUUUUGAGGAUGAUACUGCCAAAAAUGGGAAACAUCAGGAAGAAAAGGUAACAUAUCUGAACUUUGAAUUCUCUGUUUUUUUAAAAACCAUUAGACGUCGUUAUUAUUAAUAAAACCGUCGUUUGAAAUACAUACCACGACGAUUUUAAAAAUAAGUCGUCGUUUGUAUUUCAAUACCACGUCGUAUUUAGUUUACUUGUUUUACACGCCAUUAAACGUCGUUAUUUUUAAAACUUUGUGGUUUUUAGACGACGGAGUUAGUCAUUCCCGCCGUAAUAGAUGAAGAGAAGAGAGAAGAAAAACAAGAUGAAAAGGAGAAAGAAGAUGACGACCAGGUAUGUUCACAUAACUUUGCCUUUUUUAUUUGUUUUUCAAAAUUCCAGACGUCGAUAUUUUUCUUUAAACCGUCGUUUGUUUACAACUUAGACGGCGGAAUUUUUUUCUAAGACGUAAUAAAUUAUUCACCACGACGGUUUCUUCACCGUCGUUUAAAUUCUUUUCAGACGACGUUGUAUUCCUUAAACCGUCGUUUUUAUUGAAUUACCACGUCAUUUUUUUUAUUUCUUUAAACAGGUUAUUCAAGGUGUUGAUUAUUCAAAUAUGGAGGCGCCAUCUUCUUUAAAAUCCCUUUGUCGUUAUGUGGAAACGACACUCGUGCCUCAGGAUAAGACCCUGCACUUUACAAUUGAUAAGGAGGUGUUUGGUCUAGAGCGCGAUACCUUCCUCCUGCCUGAAGAUAUUACACAAUUUGCAGGCAUGGAAGAAAUAGGAGCCACUGUCAUUGCUGUAUAUAUGAGGUUUGUCAUUCUAAAAUAAUACGUCGUUGGUUUAUUUAUUGCGUCGUCUUAACCAACUAACCGCGUCGUUAGUAUGUACCGUCGUGAUAAAUAUAUUAUAACGUCGUUGUCUAUUUCAGUACGUCGUGUGAAAUUUUAUAAUACGUCGUUUUGUUAUACAUAACCGUCGUGUGUUUUAUGUAUAUAUGAGGUUUGUCAUUCUAAAAUAAUACGUCGUUGGUUUAUUUAUUGCGUCGUCUUAACUAACUAACCACGUCGGUAGUAUGUACCGUCGUGAUAAAUAUAUUAUAACGUCGUUGUCUAUUCCAGUACGUCGUGUGAAAUUUUAUAAUACGUCGUUUUGUUAUACAUAACCGUCGUGUGUUUUUUUGUGCUGACUUGUUUAUAUUAUUUUAUAUAUCUAGGUACUUACACGAUGUUUUGAAACGAGCAAAUAUGUGCUCCAUGGUUGGCUUUAUCGACCCUGCUACAGUUAGUGCCAGCUCUGGCACAAUAGCUGACAGAUCACGCCUACUAGCAGCUCGACUUCAGAGGACUGACGGUGAACAGAUUUUCCUGAUGCCUUACAAUCCAGGGUUAGUCUCCUUAACAGGAUUUUGAUUUUAUGAUUUUCAAUAAAUGACAGCGUAUAAACUAACCACGUCGGUGUUUUAUUUUAUUGAGUCGUUGCAAAACUACUAACCACGUCGGUAGUUAUUUAUCGUCGUGAUAAAUUUAUAAUGUCGUCGAUUGCUUCUUUAUUUCGUCGUGUGAAAUAUUAUAAUACGUCGUUUUUGUAAAUAACCGUCGUUUUAUAUUAAUUUUGUGCAGCCGUCAUUGGAUCUUGCUGAUUGUAAGAGCAAAGAGAGAAACCGUCUAUUUUCUGGAUUCUCUGCCAGGAAAUCGUGUGGUCGAUGAAGAGGCCAAAAACAUUGUGAACAGUGCUAUAAAAAUUUAUAACUCUCACAUAGCUAGACCAGGCCGUAAGGCAGUCAUUUGGAAAACUCUGUCAGGCACACCAAAGCAACCCAGCAGUGUCGAAUGCGGGUAUUAUGUGAUGCACUUCAUGAGGGACAUCAUCAUGGAUCCUUCCUUGGGGUUUGAGAAGAAGGUAAGAAGAAAUUACCUUCAUACAUUUUACGUCGUUUUAUGUAUUAUCAACGACGGUCAUGUAAAAUUACCGUCGUUGAAUAGAUAGUACGUCGGUUAUGAAAAAUAUCGUCGUCUGUGAUUUAAUUUCUUUUUAUUUAUAAACCCUAAUAGUCAUUGUUUAUGUAGUAUGCCAAGGGAAAACAGGAAGCGCCAUACCCCCAAGAAGCAAUUGAUGAAGUCUGGAAUGAAUGUGCAGAGUUUGUUUGCCUUCACCUGGAAUAGGGGAAUUAUUGAACGCUUGAUAUUUAUGUAUAAUGUACAAAUUUUGUCUAUAAUAUAUAAUGUAAAAAUUUGUUGAGGUUUUCUUAAAUUAAAAAAAAAAACAAACAUACAAAUUGCGUAAACGACGUGUAAUACUUUUCCAACGACGUAAUAAAGUCAAAAGCCGUCGUUUUUUGUUGUUUCGUUUUAAACAAAUCCGACGUAAAAGGAUAUUUAGACGACGUUCUUUGAACAAUUGAGUCGUUUAUGGUUUACAACGUCUUCAAUUUCUUAAGGGUUCAGGGUAGUACUUUGUAACGACAGCGGUUAAGUCGUGGAAUAUAUAUUUUAUGUCGGAUAGUUAAAUAUCCGCCAUGGUUUCUCAUUUAAACGACGUCAUUUUAACAACUUAGUCGUCUAUUACAAUUUACAACGUCUACAAUUUAUUAACACCGACGUGGUUUGUUGUUGUGAUAAGAAUAUUUUAUUAUUUUUAUAUCAAAAUAUUCAAAAUAAAUUUAAAAUAAAUCAGAAAAAUGCAAAGUCAACUCCUAUGAAGUCAUUGAUAUAUUUUCUUCCCCUAAACCUUGAAAAAAUUCAUUUUGAAUAACAAAAAUUUAAAAUGGCCAUCCAAAACAAAAUUAUUUUGAUGAGUCAUAAAAUCACUUCUAGUUUUAUGGUUUAGGGUUUAGAGUCUAGGGUUUAGAGAUUAGGGUUGUUAUUUAUUGGGGUUUAUUUUUAAAGUAUAAUUUUUGGGUAGUCUAGGGUAUAUAUUAGGCUGUAAAACCAUAAACCCUUUUAUAAACUUAAUUUUUAAAAUUAUAUAAUUUAGUUUUAAGGGUUUAGGGUAUUAAUUGUUAACGACGGUGGUUGAGUCGUGGAAUACAUAUGUUACGUCGUGCAGUAAAAUAUCCGACAUGGUUUCCACUUUAAACGACGUCAUUUUAAUAUGUAAGUCGUCUAUUAUAAUUUACAACGUUUUCAGUUUCUUAACUUCGACGUGGUUUUUCAGUCGUCUUUAUAUCAAAAUAUUCAAAAUAAAUUUAAAAUUAAUUCGAAAAAUGAAGCGUCAAAAGAAACGGCGUUACGUUCAGUGUUUCCGUCGUGGAAUAUUACAUUUACGUCGGUUCUUGUAGAACUUUCGCCAUGGUUUUUCUUUCGACGUUUUAAAGAACGCGCGCUCUAAAAAUUUUCGCGCGCCCUAAAUUUUUUUAUAUUUGGCUCUUAUUCUUAUACUUCUAACCCUGAACCCUAAAAUUUUCAGAUUUCGCGCAACAUAACAUUCGCUCUCUCACUUCUGCUCUAAUUAAAAGUUGCACUCUCCAGGCUCCGUCGAAUCUGUAAGCUCGUCCAACCUGUAAGUACAAACCCUAUCUUCCCCUUGUAAAUUCAUUGAAUGAUAUUAGGUUGUUUUGUUAAAUGGUUUUAGGUAUAUGCUUUGCGAUCUGUUAAUAAUGUGCUUAUAGGUAUGGGUUCAUGGAUUUUCUGUUUAAUGGGUUCAUGGAUUUUCUGUUUAAUGGGUUCAUGGAUUACAUUAUCUGUUAUGUUGAAUUGGGAAUGGAUUUAAUUUUGUCGGAUCUUUUAAUCACCCUAUGUUAUGUUGAAUUGGGAAUGGAUUUAUUGUUUUCAUGCUUGGUUUCAUGUAUAUGUUGGUUUCUUGCUUGGUUUCAUAUAUAUGUUGUGUUCUUAAUGGGUUUUGGGUUCUUGAAAAUAAACUGAGACACGACGCCUUUUUAGGCAUACGACGACGAUUACACGACGGUUUAUGAAAAAACUGUCGUUGUAUUACUUAUACACGACGGUUUUUUCAUAAACCGUCGUUUGUAUUACUUAUAUUAGACGACGUCUGUUGAAAAUCCGUCAUCUAUAUAUGCCAAAUACGUCUGUUUUUGUUUAAAACUCGUCGUCUCUGUUGUGUAUUACUUGCUAUUAGAUCUUUGUAUAAUCUGCUAUAGUGAUGGUCAUUGCCUGUAUUUUCACUUUAUUAUAGAUAAUAGGUUAUAGUGUCGGAGAUGGAUAAGUCAUGGAUGCACUCGAAUAGAAGAUCGAAGGCAUAUGAGUUUGGGGUGGAAGCAUUUUUGAACUUUGCUGUAGAAAAUCUUCUAACUACAACACAUAUCCGUUGUCCAUGUGUUAAAUGUGUUAAUUUGAAGUUGUUUGGGGUUGGAAUUAUAAGGGAUCACUUAUACUUUAAUGGAAUUGACCAAAGCUAUAAGAAUUGGACAUUUCACGGAGAACCUUGGGAAGCAACUACUAAUGCUAGUAGAAAUGUUGAAGAAGAUGAUGGCCAUAGUAGGUACAGUUUUGUGUCUGAAGAAAUUGAUAUGGAUGAUAAUGAUUUUGGUGAUUUUGGUUCUGAUCCGUAUGAGUUUGCCAAUGUGAUUGGGGAUGGAGAUCAACCAGUGUACCCUGGUUGUAGAAAGUACACGAAGUUAUCGGCAUUAGUGAAGUUGUAUAAUUUGAAGGCAAAACAUGGGAUGAGUGAUGUCUGUUUUACAGAAUUAUUGAUACUUCAAGGCGAUUUGCUUCCAGAAGGAAAUACAAUACCAACCUCUAUGUAUGAGGCUAAAAAGACUUUGUGUGCAUUGGGGCUGAGUUAUGAGAAAAUGCACGCAUGCCCCAAUGAUUGCAUCUUGUAUAGGAAGGAGUAUGAGGAUUCAACUAAUUGUCUUACUUGUGGUAUCUCAAGGUGGAAGGAAGGCAAAGAUUCAAUCUUGAAAGAGGGUGUGCCAGCGAAGGUGGUGUGGUAUUUUCCUCCAAUUCCAAGGUUUAAAAGGAUAUUUCAAUCACAUGAGACAGCUAAGAGUUUGACUUGGCAUGCUGCUAGAAAAUCAAUUGACGGUCAGAUGUCUCAUCCGGCGGAUUCCCCGUCUUAGAAACUUCUUGAUGAUAAAUGGCCUGAGUUUGGUAAUGAGCCGAGAAACUUGAGAUUGGCUCUUUCAUCUGAUGGAUUCAAUCCCCACAGUUCUCUAAGUAGCAGAUAUAGUUGUUGGCCGGUUAUCUUAGUUACAUAUAAUCUCCCUCCAUGGCUGUGCAUGAAACGAAAGUUCAUGAUGUUAACCUUAUUGAUUUCCGGUCCUAAACAACCCAGAAAUGAUAUAGACGUCUACUUGGAGCCUUUGAUUGAUGAUUUAAAAUCUUUGUGGGAUGGGAUUAGAGGAGUGUAUGAUGCACAUAAUGGAGAAUACUUUACACUCAGAGCUGCAUUAAUGUGGACAAUUAAUGAUUUCCCCGCCUAUGGAAACUUAUCUGGUUGUGUUGUUAAAGGAUAUAAAGCUUGUCCAAUAUGCGGCGAUGAUACACCUAGUCACAGGUUGAAAAAUGGCCACAAAAUUUGUUACAUUGGGCAUAGAAAAUGGUUACCAAUCAAUCAUCCAUAUAGGAGGCAACGUGCAGCUUUUAAUGGGAAACCUGAAUAUGGCAUACCUCCCGAGCCAUUAACCGGAGAAGAAGUGCUGCAUAUGGUUGAAAAUGGUGACAGAGUUUGUUGGAAGAAGAACUCAAUAUUCUUUGAUCUCGAGUAUUGGAAAUACCUUCCUAUGAGGCAUGCCCUAGAUGUUAUGCACAUUGAGAAGAAUGUUUGGGAUAGUAUUAUUGGUACAUUGCUGGAGAUCCCUGGAAAAAAUAAAGAUGGGAUUGCUGCUCGAUUAGAUUUAUUGAACAUGGGGGUCAAAACUGAUUUGCAACCCGAGUAUGGAGAAAGACGUACUCGUUUGCCUCCUGGGCCUUGGAAUUUGUCAAGAGCAGAGAAGAGAGAGGUUUGCAAUUCUUUCUAUGGUAUGAAGGUCCCUGAAGGUUAUUCUUCAAAUAUUAAAAAUCUUGUAUCUUUACAAGAUUCAAGACUUCUUGGCCUUAAAUCACAUGAUUGUCAUACCUUAAUGCAACAAUUGCUCCCUGUGGCAAUUCGUUCUGUUUUGGAGAAGCCUGCCAGGUAUGCAAUAACUCGUUUGUGCUUCUUCUUCAAUGCUAUAUGUGCAAAGACUGUUGAUGUUUCCAAGCUAGAUAAGUUGGAAGAAGAUGUAGUAGUUACUCUGUGUUUGCUUGAGAAGUACUUUCCCCCUUCAUUCUUUGAUAUCGUGGUUCAUCUAGUAGUACAUCUUGUCAGAGAAGUUCGUCUAUAUGAGCCAGUAUAUUUUAGGUGGAUGUAUCCGUUUGAAAGAUAUAUGAAAGUUCUGAAGGGGUAUGUUCAGAAUCGUACUCGUCCCGAAGGUUGCAUUGCUGAGCGGUAUAUAGCUGAAGAAGCGGUAGAGUUUUGUACUCAGCAUUUAUCUGAUGUUAGUACAGUUGGAGUGCCUUCAAGCCAAAAGAUGGGACUUUCAAAGCCAUUAUCAGGUUGCACAGUGAGCGUAGUUGAUCAGGACCUGUUGAAUCAAGCACAUCUAUAUGUCUUGGAGAAUACGGAGGAAGUCCUACCUUAUAUCGAGUACGUAUGAGUUUUAUUCUUUAAGUUUCCAUUUUAAAUUAUUUCUUAUGUUUAUCUUCUAUAUUUGGGACCGUAAUGCUUGAAUUUUUCGUGUCAUGUAGGCAACAUAUGAUCCACAUCAAGACUGCUUAUCCAAAAUUUAGAAAGAGAACAAAGUGGCUGCAGGAUAAGCACAAUAGCACUUUCAUUCAAUGGCUACGCUUCAAGGUAUAUGUUGUUGAAUAACAUAUUUCUCUUUUAAUUUUCUUCUUAUUUCUAUGUUAGAUUAAGAUAUAUGAUUAAUUUGCAGGUUCAAAGUGAACUUGAGGAAGACAAUCAUGGCGUAUCAGAAAAUUUAAGGUGGCUAGCAGCUGGUCCAAACAUGGCAGUGCCAUUAUAUAGGAGCUAUCUUAUUAAAGGUAUUAAAUUCAAUAUCAAGGCACAAGAUGAUGUGCGGACAACUCAAAAUAGUGGAGUUUAUUUACUUGCACAUACCAUGCAAGUUGCUAGUGCCAAGGAUAAAAACCCAAUUCUCUCAAAUAUGGGUUUCUAUGGUGUCAUUCAAGAAAUUUGGGACCUUGACUACCAAAAGUUUACAAUCCCAGUCUUUAGGUGUGAUUGGAUAGAUAGUUCUGGUCUUGUAGUAGACGAACUUGGAUUUACCCUUGUAGAUUUGAGUAAAAUUGGACAUAGGAAUGACCAAUUUGUUUUGGCUUCUCAAGUCAAACAAAUAUUUUUUGUUGACGACCCGAUGCAUCAUGGUUGGUCGGUAGUGUUAUCAAUGCCUAAUAGAGAAUAUAAUGAUGUUAUUGGUGAUGAAGUCUUAGGUGAUGUGAUAAUUGAGUGUGAGCCAUUUACUAGAGGGAUGCCAAAUGUUGACACAUUUGAUGAACUGGUGGGUGAGUUAGGCGGUCAAAAUAUUCGAGAUGGGUGUGAAGAUAUAUGGAUUGAAUGAUGCUUAUGUAAUUGGCAGUGUAUGACAUUAAUUUUGUAAUAUAUUGUAAUGUGAUUUCUUCACUUUCUACGUUCAAAUAAAACACGACGUUAUUGUGAACCAGUUAUUCAGCAUAUUUACCGACGUCUUAAAGCAACGUAACAAUGAAGAACCAUGACGCUAUUGUGAAGCAAUUAUUCAGGAUAUCACGUCGGGGAAGGAUUAAGAACCGCCAUGUAAUUCAAAAUAACACUACUCCAAUCCCAUAAUACCGACGUCUAAAAAACGAGAUAUAUAAUCUGAACGUUAAAAAAUACGACGUCAUCAUACAUUUUCCACGUCGCAAGUUCUUUUAUAAACGAAGAGGAACGAAAUGAAUUCCGACGGUAAUUCAUUAUAACCGCCGUCUAAUAUCAAUUAAACGACGUUAUUUGUAAUACGGCUCUCAUCAUAAUCAACGCCGUCUAUAUGUUCUGUAAUACGGCUCUCAUUUAUUUGGAACCGACGUUGUUUAGAAGUUCAACGUCGUCUAUAUUAAUAAGUGCGUCGUGAGUAAUGAAUACAUAUAAAUACAACGUCGACAAUAUAAAUGCCACCGACAUUGUUUCGCAUUCAACGUCAACUAUAUAAAUACAUACGUCGUAAAUAAUGACACUGACAACUAUUUCCACGUCAUCUUUUUUAGAAAAAUCGAAGUGGAAAAUUUAUUUCACGACGGUUGUUUGUAAAUAAGAGACGUAGUAUAUUUCAAUAACGUCGUCUUCUCAUGUAUUUAAAGACGUCAUAUUUUUUCUUGUCGUGAAAAUUAUAUUUAACGGCGUAAUGUUUUAGUUAUCGUCGUUGUAUGUCUAUCUUGCGGCCUUGUUCUUUUAAUAUGUGUCAUAUUUUUCCUUUUUAACGACGGUGAUUUGUUUGAGUUGGUCGUCUAUUCUCAUCGUCGACUAUUUUUUAGAACUUUAGCAGACUAAACACGUCUGUUUUUAUUUGUUUUCGACGUUGGUUUAUUUAACAACGUCUAAUAUUUAUCGUCGUUGUUUGUUUCUGAAAAUAGGACGUAUAAAUUUUGUAAUACGACUCUCAUAUAUUUGUAACCGACGUUGUUUCCUUGUUCAACGUCUACUCUAUAAAUACAUACGUCGUAAAUAAUGACACUGACAACUAUUUCCACGUCAUCUUUUAUAGAAAAAUCGAAGUGAAAAAUUUAUUUUACGACGGCUGUUUUUAUAUAGGCGACGUAGUAGGUAUCAAUAACGUCGUCUUCUAAUGUAUUUAAAGACGUCAUAUUUUUUAUUGUCGUGAAAAUGAUAUUUAACGGCGUCUUUUUUUAAUUUUCGUCGUUGUCUGUCUAUAUUGCGGCCUUGUUCUGUUAAUAUGUGUCAUAUUUUUCCUUUUUAACGACGGUUUUUUUAGAGACUUGGUCGUCUAUUCUCAUCCUCGACUGCUUUUUUAGAUCUUUUUGCAGUACAAAGACGUCGUUUUGUAUUUGUUGAUGACGUUGUAUAUUGUAACAACGACGGUGAUUUAGCGUCGUGGUUUAUGAGGGAAAAGAUGACGGUGGAUUCCACGACCAUUGAAAAACCGAAUACACGACGGUGAUUUACCGUCGUCUUUUUGCUUUUUUGUAGUAGUGUAGGAGAGAAAUGUGAUUCUCUUCUAACAGAAUUACAGCUGUCAUCCUAUUAGAUUCUUACACCUGUCAUAGCAAAUCUAAGCUAGAGAAUCCACCUGGACUAUGAUCUAAUGGCUCUCCUUACAUCAUUUAAAUAAGCUGACCAAAAACAGAACAAAUAGAGAAUAGCUUCAGCUCUAAGAAAUCUGCUGCAGGAUUAUAUUUCAACACUAGCUUGUACCAAAUCACUUGGGUUUGUUUUCGUGCUCAUGCAACCCUUCCGCAAGAGAUUUCUCAUGAAAAUGAUCACACUCUAUCCUUGUGUAGAAAUAGGAUACCCUACCUAGCUAGCUCCUCUGGUUAACAGACAACAAAAGGGACCACCAUGUUCUUGAAAAAUGAAUUCAUUGCUCCUCUGGUUAAUUAACAGUACUGCAUAUGGUAUGCCCUACAACAAAAACUUGUUAACUUGUGUGAUAAACUAGUAGUCUAUUUCUUUUUCAUCUUUUUAUAAAUGCUGCUUCAAAAGACAAGAAUUUGUGGUGCUAUGAGAAUAUACAUGGACCCUCGGAUGCUCUAUGAUUUGGUUGGUUGGGAGCACCAAACCACCCUUGCAUGUGGCUUUGUCCUUUCAUCUAUGAUCUUCAGGCCCAACAAGCAAGGGAAGUCUUUCAUUUGUUUGAAGAAUUGAUACUUAUUGAGAAUGCAGUAGGUAAUGAGUACAUAUCUAAAAAGCAUAUGAUAUCAAGAGAGUGCUAAUCUGUAGCAAUUGUAAAAUGUAGGAUACAUACUUUUUACUUAAAGUUAAACAUAUGAAAAGAUGUUUUACUAAUCGAAUUAUUUGAUAUAGCAAAUGUAAAUUGAAAAAGAUGAAAACCAACAUUAAGUUCUCUUUGUAGGCGCUAGUAGAGUAAAACAUGCCAAUUCGUUGUAAGUGCAAGCCACAUCGCUUAUGCUUAUACUCAACAUGAAAUGAAUUGUUGACAUUACAAUUCGUGAAAUCUAUCUGUUGACUCUAGCGACGUCAGUAAUUUCAUCUAAAUUGUAGAAAUUUGUUAUAAAAACAAAGAAGAUUAUUGAACAACCUGAUUACCUAAAACCAAAUUAGAUUUUAGAAAAAUAUAGUAGAUACAUAAAACUUUAUUACCUAACAAAGAAAGAUGUCAAAUCUUUCAAAAACAUUUUCUUACAACCAAGGGAAAAAAUCCAAGAUUGAAUUGAUGAAAAUGACUUCGUUUGGACCACUCAAACCUUCUUUGCUAAUUACUCAGUUAGCUAGUUUGUUAAAGUAGAGAAGUUACCUAGUAUAUCUCCAACAAAAAUAGUCAUAUUGUAAAGCCUGUUAUGUAACUAAGGGAAUUGUGGAGAGAAUAUAGAGAAAACAAGUAGCAAUAGAAAGGCUCUUCAUCUGCUUGUAUUAAAGUUUACUUUGUAUCCAUUACAAUUGAGAAGGUAGCCUUGUUUAUAGGCCAAGCCUUGGCUAACAACCAGAGAAAGAAGGCUCAUGGAAGGUGUAAGCAAAUAACGUUCCAACUUGUGGGCUCCACUUGCAGACUUUUACAACACUCUCUCUUGGAUACCACAAUGUAUGGAAUCUGUCUCGUUAAAAACCUUGCCAAUAAAAUUUAGUGGGACAAAAAAUGGUCCAAAGGGAAAAAGAGCGCAUAAUCAUGUGUAACAUAAAAUUAUGUAUAUAUAACACUGACACGCGUGCGACACUGCCUCGUUAAAACCUUGCCAGGUAAAACUCAGUGGGACAAAAAAGAAAAAACUAGAUGAAGGAAAAAGAGUACAAUGUGUGAAAAUCUUAUUGAUGGCACGCUCCCCCUGAUGCUGACAAAAUAUCUUUAAGUCAUGAUGUUGACAAUCUUUCUGAAUGUCGUAGUUGAACACUGCUUCCAUGAAUCAAUCUUGUAAUACUGGUGGAUGCUACCCCUAAAGAAUUACUCCCCUUGAUGUCUUCUUUGAUGAUCCAACACAAAUGAUAUUGAUAUCACAUUUGUACUUCACAAACUGAUCUUUGGUAAUGCUUGUAGAAAACUUGUUGUUGUAACAUCUCUGGAGGAUCCCUGUGUGUCGUCAUUCAUCUAAUUCUUAUUGAGGUUAGAGUAAUACAGAAAAAUAUCUAGGCUAUUUUCAUAAGACUUUCACUGUACACAAUGGUUUGAAUUUCAUAUGUUUUCCAAUAUAAAAAACAAUAAGCUCAUAUUUAUAAUGAUAAGAGCAUUAAAUAUUUAUAUGGUGUUGUUUACCCUUUUUGUAUUUGAGUAUGUUGAAGCCUAAAUAAAAUUCCCCAUUAAUUUUUUAAACACUUAAUGGUUUCUUGAGUAACUUUCUUGCCACUAUUAGCAGAUAAUACCCUAACAGAUUUGAACAACUUUAUAUACUUGCACCCCAAGUAAUAGACUUUAAACAAACAAUUGUGAUUUUGGAUGGGGAAACCUCCCAAGAGAGUUCUUUUCUAUGCCUCAGACUUGUGACGACUUCACAAUUUAUUAAGACAAAAAUGGUAAGCAAAGCAAAAUACACAAAUUUAUGAAGGGUAUAACAGACUAAUCCAAGCAAAACUACUUGAAGCACAAAGUAACAAAUGAAUCUUUAAAUCUACGUACUUCUCAAAGGGGUUGGACUUUGACUUAUGUUUGAAAACAUAGUCGCAAUGAUGACUUGUGAUUAGACUGGACUGAACUUUUGUUGACUAGAUUGAAUGUUUCUGCACUGGAAUUUCAUGUCAGCACCUUCAACUAAUAGAGAUUAGCUAGAAAUCGAUACCAAGUUUGAAGUUUGGCAGAGCUAUAAACAAGUUAAACCUUGAAUAGGCUAUGGAAGUGAUCAAAACUGCAAACGAGUACCUAUUCUUGUUGAUUCUGAGUGAUUUUAAAGCUAUCUAGACAAUUUUAAGACAUUAAGAUGUAUUUGAAAAGCUUGUUGAGGAUUUUGUAUGAUGAAAUACCUGACUUCUUCUUGUUUUAUCUAAUUUGAUGAACCAAAUUUGUCAGAGGAAUUAAUCUCGUUUGAAUUCUGUUUGAUUUACCUUAUCUGGAUUACAAGGGCAAUCUUGGUUUCUUCUUGGUUUUCUGAACUUCUUUUUGAGCUGGAUUGCUUGUUAAGGAAGAUUGCUUGCUUGCUUUUGGUAGUUGUAAGAUCAUAUGAUCUUUGAUUUCUUUUUAUCAAUCUGGAGUUAUUGUUGAGUUUUUCCUUAAUUUGUUGGUUAUUUGUCCCUUCUCCUGUCCAGACACUUUUGUAUUUAUAGGAGAAAAAUGAUGUUGAAGAAAUCUGGAAUUUUUAGUUUUGGACUAUCCUCCAUUUAAUGCACAAGUGGCAAAAGUUUUGUUAGUUAAUGCAUUGAUCGUUUUUGGCACCUGCUCAUUAAUGUUCUUGAAUGUCUCCUGAUCGUUCCUUUUGGAACAACUAAGCUGAAGUGAGCAAUAAUGCCCAAAUUCCUCCAACGUUGGUGUAACACCCGGAUCCAAUUUUAACUUCUCAUUCAAAUUAUUUAAUUUAUUUAAUUGUGAAAUUACAAUUUUACCCUUAGGGCAGGGUUAUUUUGGUCAGUUUUUAAUCCGAUAGGAUUUUGGGGAAUUGAAUGGCACCAUUACUUAGAGUGCAUCGAUACGAGUUCAUAGACAUUCAGUGGGAUCAAAUAAGAGUUUUAACAAAGAAGUUACGAUCAACGGAAGUGCAAUGGCACCACCGUAAAUAUUUCAAAAUUUGAAAUUGAAACACUAGAUUCUCUCUCUCAAUCUCUCCCUCAUGAAUCUCUCUCUCCUCUGUUGGGAGCACCACAACCCCGUCGUCUUCUAACGAUGAUUCCGGGGUCAUCCUUCCUCUCCUGCUACGAAACUGGUUACAAUUUUUUUUCAUCUCUCUCUCCUCUUUACAUCCAUACCAAUUUCCAACCUCAAUUCCAAGGGAUUAAGCCAAAAAUUCGAACGAAAACCCAACUCAAACUGGCCUGUCAAAAACCAUGACUUCCGGCGUUUGUUCUGGCCAACUUCACCGAUCACCAAGUGGGUUCCAAAACACUCCCGUGCCUCCCCUCUGUAAUUUUCCUCGAAGACCCGACUUGAUUUCAAUCCGAAACCAUCGAAUUGAAACCUAGAAGGUGUUUCAACGAGAAAACCAACUGUUCGAGGGCUUUAGCGGCUGAAUUGAUCUUCGAGCAAAGGUAUAAAGUUACUCCCCUUGAUGUGUUUGAUCUUUUGAUAUGAUUAUUGGCCAGCGGUUUGGAGUUUUUCGAUCGCCAGAAAUUUUUUCAAGACACCCGUAGGCAGUGGUGGCUCGUCAGUGGGGUAUCAAGGUUGGGUUUUGAAGCUAGAAUGUUCCCCAUGUCGUCCCAAGCACGAUAGUAUGCUGAAAUUUGAAUUUGGUUGUUGUUUGACGGUCGAUCAAAUUUACAUAUAUUAGGCGUCUUCCGUGUUCGAUAUGUUCAGACCGUUGGAUCGACUCCAUUUCCAACUAUGCUGGUCUAGAUACCUCUCAGAUCAUGUAGGAACUACGAAUUGAGAAUCGGAGUCCCGGAUACUCCAAUUUAAUGGCUCAAAGUUUGGGUAAAACGGUGACCGCCCGAUCGUAUGAUUGUGAGCGAUCCGACCGCUCGAUCUGGACCAAACUUGUAGGACGUGUUUAGUAAGCUUUGUUGAACCCGUAGGGAACUUUUGGAUAGGAAAUUGGAGGUCAUGGGCCCAACAGGCCCAGCUGACCAAAUUUGGGAAGUUUGACCACUUGGUUGACCGAGCGUCUUUCGAGGUUAUUUCACAUUUCGGAACAUGUAGUUGGACCUUAGAAACUUCCUGUUUGUUGUAUACACACCUUGAAUUCCGGGAAAAAUUAGGAAUUUAUUUUAAAGUUUCCAUCCGAAUUAUUUUAAUUAAUCUAGUCCUCGUAUUUUUCAAUAGGCACUUCGGCUCAGCGUACUCAAUAGGGUUAAGCAGCUCUAGAUUAUCUGUGAGUGGACUUUGUUUUUAAAUAAUAAUCAUUAUUUUCAAAGAGAAAAAGCUAUGCAUAAUGAGUUAUUCGAUUAUUGAGUUUAACAUAUUAUUUAUUUAAAUGUUUGAAUUUGCAUAUUGUGAUUAUCUUGAAUUAAUAUAUGCUAUGUUUGAGAGUUACUAUCUGACAGGACCCGAUCCAAAUUCCGCUUUGGAAUUCGAGCCGGACCCUGUGCGUGUCCGACACCUGGCAAAUGUCGGGCACAAAUGACCUAUUUGCCCUUCUAUACAAAACAUGAUAAAAUAACAAGGUUGACGUCUACCGAAAAACCGGCAGAGUUUUCCUUGUAACUGGCUCAAUACCAACAUAUUUACACCUGCCAAACAAGUAUAUAUAUAUACAUCCAACUGCCAGCAUACAUUUAUAUACAGUCCAACCGUUCAAUUCUCAAUCUAGGGCAAAACAUCAGAGCAACUUCUAAGAAUUUACAAAGAAGUGAAUCUUUUUACAAAACAAAAAUCCUACAUCAAAGAAAAGGCGCGGAAGAUAGAAAACGGCCCGGUGGUGGAUCACUGUGCACGUCUUCUGCCUGGGGGAGCAAAACAUGGAAAAGGGUGAGUGGACCUAAAAAAAAAGUUUAGAAAAUAUGAACAUACUAACUCCACUGUAAAAACAGUUGUACAAACUAAAUUAUUCUCUUUAUUUCUGCAAUCAAUGCACGUAUAUAAUUAUACAUGUAAAUAAUCAUAUUCAUGGUCAACAUUACUUUUAAAAACAGUUUAAAACUACCACCUAGGUGUACCCUUUAUUUCCGUCAAUUCCUUAUAUCCGUCAAUUCCUUGCAUCACCAUAGGUGACACAUACUCGCAGGUCUCAGUGACACGAGGUCAGUCCGAGCCGCAACUCGCAGGAUUCAGGGGACCGUGGUCCACCUUUAUCCGCAUACUCGCUCCACACGAGUUCGAUUACCAAGGAACUUGUGGGGCAACUGUCAAGCAUGCUGACUAAACCGAAGGCAACCAAUAUAAUCCGAAGGCAACAUUUAAUAUCUGGGUACAAGGUGGUUUAACAAAAUAUAAAGUUUCGGAAGCAAAGCUGUUAAAUAAUUAACUUUCUGUAACCUUUCAAAUUCUGCUGCCAUUUAUCUGACAAGUAACUAGAAUUUCUUUUCUUAUAUCCGUUAAAAGGUAUUUCACUCGGCAGCAUGUAAAAUAAAACAGCUUAUAACUGAAACUGAACGGCUUAAAUUCAUUUAUUAAAAUAUAGAGUCCACUCACCGGUAGUCCGAGCUCGCUGGACCUCUUGAAGGUCCCUUCUAUGGGUCAACUGGUGCCCGGGUGCCUGAUUCAAUGACCAUAAUAUACUAUUAAUACAAUAUAGUGUUAAUAUAAAAACUCUUACCCCCAGCUCCUAAAAGUACAUGCGUACAAUUAAAGUUAUCUCUAUACCCAUAAAAGCUUUCCUUCCAGUUUAGCAGUAUCUUGGGACUCAAAAAGCGUUAAAGUCCCAAAAAAUCAACCCGAGACCCCACGGGUCCAUGACCUCACAAUAUAAUCCGGAAGCCGCAAGAAGGUCCAAUAUAUCUAGGACACAUGUCCAGAGGGUAUUGGUCUCGAUCGGACGGUCAGAUUGAUCACGAUCGUGCAAUCGCAUAUUUUCCAAACCCUAGCUCUAGGGUUCGCGAUUUUGGAGUCCCUAGGACUCCGAUUCACAAUCCGUCGAAUCCUACACGAUUCUGAAAUUGUCUAGAGUAACAUAUCUGAAACUGGUUACGAUCCAACGGCUCAACCAUAUUGAACCCGGAAAUCGCACAAUAUGGAAAAUCCGUUCGAGGCUCAAACGGUAUCCAAAUUGAGAUCCGUGAAUUCCUACGCGCUCGUGACAACCUAAGGAUCGCAUCAAGACACAGUACCACUGCACUACCCUCGCCCACACGCCGCCGCACGCGCCGGCAGCGCUGGGUGUCCAAAGCGAUUAUGCAUCGCCGGAAAAUCUCGAAACCACGGCUCCAAACUCCUACCCUAGGUAUAACACCAUAUUUGGAACCACUUUUGUUCUUGGACCUACCCCAAAAACUGACCGAAAGUGGCCGAACAGGGAGGCCGAAAAUCAGCCAAAUUCCAAUUUGAAAACUGAGCUAUCUACGGUCAAAAUCGAUGCAAACCUACCCAACCAUCAGCUAGAGCAUGGAAAAUAGGUAGAAAUCCAUACCUUACUCGACAAAUUUGGAGAAGAAUUGAGGGAGAACGAGCGGUUGCAAAACUGUGAAAAACCAGCUCGAGUUUUACAGUUUCCGGCGGCUGGCAGCGGGCUGGGCGGGGCUUGAAGACGGAACCGAGCUGGUCCUUUUGGCACCGACGGCAAGGGCAGGGGUGGUCGGUGGCGAGAGUUCUGGCGAUUGGAAAGUGACGGGAAGGAGGACAGCGGGAGAGGGAGAGAGAGAGAGAGAGAGAGAGAGAGAGAGAGGAAAACUGAGGGAGAAGAGAGAGAGUGAGGGUUUUAAAAAUCUGAUUUUUCCUAAUUACCAUUUUGCCCCUCGUGAUAUUUUAACCGUAUUUUCUUCGUUAAAACUCCGAUUCGAGUCCACUUCAUGUCUGCGAACUCAUUUCGUCGUGCUCUACACAACGGUGUAUGUGGAAUUGUCAAAUUCCUUUUCGGUCAAAAAGUCAACUUUUCGUUAAGAAAUUAUUCCAAGGGCAAAAUUGUCUUUCCUCAUAAUAAAUUACUAAUUAAAUAUGAAUUUUAGGUUUGGGUUAUUACACUAUACUUGGAUGCGUGUUGGGUACAUGGGAUUGGUAGAAAGAGAUUAUGGAAUGGGAUUUGAGUUGUGGUUUAUAUUAAUUUUGAAGUGCUUUAGGCACUACCCUAUGUACCUUCCUGGUUUUGGAAUACAUGGAUUGGAUACUUGGAAACUUUUGGGAUACUUUGAUAUGUCGGAACCCGACCACCCUUGACAGGGUGUUUCGUAGACCCUUAGCAGGAUUAGUCUGCAAGCGUAGGACUUGUCACAGGCGUACAAGUAUUGAAGAUUCUGUUGUACAUGUUGGUGAGCCAGUCCCCCGGUUGGACAACUCAUUCCCUAGCCACAUGGUCAAUUGAGGAUUCUUCUAUAUGGUCUAGCCAAACAAUCCCCCGGUUAGAUUAUUUCCUCAGUACAAGUUUGGUAGUGGUCAUACUUAUGUAUAUAUAAAAAAUUUAUAUAUAUACACACAUAUACUUUCGUUCUUGUUUAUCAAUGAGGAUUCUUUCUUGCUUGUGGUGCCAACGGGCACGCGUUUUGGGUGAGAGUAGUUUGGGGAAAAUGGGUAAGGUUUUGAGUGGGAUGGGUAUUACUAUACCAUUAUGAGAUAUGGAUUUCACUUUGGUUUUGAUUUAGCUAUAUAUAUAUAUAUCGGUUUUGAAUGCAUAUCCCUUUUAGAAUCGUUUUCCAAAUGGUGGGGUUAGUAUGUUGUUUUUAACUAUGUAAAAACUUUAUUUUUGUCCACUCACAAAUUUUCUGUUUUGCUCCCACAAGGCAGUAGUUGAGCUGAGUCGAGCGACUAAGCCGAGUCUUGUACUUCCGAGCCCCAAGUUUCUGUAGGACAAUGUUUACUUGUUUUUAAUUCUAUUGAACUCGUUUCAUUGUAAACUGAAUUUCUUUUGAUAUGCUUGGUUAUCGCCCAUGCUAGGGUUGGAUGUAAGGUCAGAGGCCUAUUAUGUAAAUUGCAUGAUUUUUCAUUGUGCAUGCUGUUGUUGGGAUUUUAUUACUUUGUUUUUUACAAGUUAAAAAUUUGGGAAAGUUUGUUUUUCAAGAGAGACUCUACCGAAAUUUUAACAAAAUGUCUAAUUCCUCUUUUCGUUAAUUUGGAAAAGAAGCUAUAAUGUUAGUAAGUGGACCCGGCAUCAGUUUCAUGUCCGAAAUACCACAGGAUUCGCCACGGAUUUCAAGGAAAUUCAGGGCGGGUCUUGUCAAUUGGUUCCAUAAAUACAAAUAUCCUGGUAGUAGAAAAUAAAUCCGGCGAUCUUACAAUAAAUAGUCGUGAUUUUUGUUUGUGCAAAUAAUCUCACGGGAGAAUAUUCUCUUCUAGAUUCUUCAACCUUCGAUCUUCCUUCUCCCUCUUCCUCGAUUCCUGUAAAAAAGACUAGAGUAAAUAGACCACACCCGGGGGGUGUUGGCCAAAGGCCCUCCGAUGCCUAAGUUCGUUCGAGUGUUUGUAGGAAAACAAUAGCUAAGCAAAGGGUACGGAGUUGUAUGUAGGGUGUAAACCGGGUGGCCGGAGCCAUGUGUGGUGGCCGGAGCUGUGUAGAGAAAAUAUGGAGAGUGGAGAGGGAGAGAGAGCUUCGGGUAUUUUUCUCGGGUAUAAGGAGUAGGUUUAGAUGUACCUUGAAUGAUGAAUGAGGUCGUCUAUUUAUAGGAGCCUUGGGGCUAAGGUUUCGUAGGGAUCGAGUCGGACCUGAUAAUAUCCGAAUUAAAUAUAUUAUCGCUUAAGAAGAUAAUAUCUAAAUUAAAUGAUAUUAUCUUCUCUUUAUUAGGAUAAUAUCUUAAUUAAUGAUAUUAUCUCUUUAAAUAAAGAUAAUAUCAUAUUAAUUAAGAUAUUUAUCCCAAUUAAUUAAUUAGCUAGAUAAACUGGUUUAAUUAAUUAAUUUAAGAGAUAAUCUUCUUUUCCACGUGGCGUGCCUUGAUUGGAGAUGAAAAUAUAUGCUCCCACAAUUUCCAACUAAAGUAAGUCUGACUUCACUUUCCAGCUUUCAUGGUCAUUAAAGUUAUUUGGAGCCGAGUUACCAACAGUGAGGAGUCAUUCUGACAUACCUUAACAUCUAAGAAAUUAUAAACUUUGGGCUAAACUAAUUCAAAUAAUUUUGACCCUUGGAUUAAAUCACCGUUGAUUAUCAAAAUAAUGUGAAUUUAUUUUAAUUUGAUCCCCCUUUGUUUGAAUAGUAUGGGCCAUUCACCACUUUUGGUAAAUAAAGCCCAAUACCUUUUUGAAAAGUGAACCCAAUGCUUAUUUCGGGAUGGUGCACAUAUUUCAGGCCCAAACAGUACCCCUAAGUCUGAAUAUCGUCUCUAAAAAACGAUUUCAUACUUAAUGAUUGGCCUGCCUUCUAUUGAUGUGCGCCCUUUUGAUCUAUUUGCUCCUGCCCACGUCUGUUCAUUGAUUGGACAUUUUGGAAAAGUGGGUAUUAACGAUUAGUUAAUUGGGAGACUUUGGAAAAGCCCAAAGGAGAGAGAAAAUUUUUAAAAGAAGCAAAAAUGGACAAAAUUGCCCUUAUUUAUUUUUUGAUUUCCUAAGAAAUCCUUUACAUUUGCAUGUCUGUGGUUUGAAAGUUGAGAGGUUAUUCCGUCUUUUUUGAAAAAGCUUUGGCUUUUUCCAAAAGUGAAAGUUUUUUUAUGGGUAAAACCUAAAUUUACUUAGUUAAUUCUUGGCAACUCUUCUUCUCCCACUAUCUGUCUUCUUUAGAGUAUAAAGCUGCAACCUACUUUACUCUUUUAAAACCAUCAUUAACCCCGAGUUCUUCAAUUUGUAGAGUAUUUCCAAUCUUUGAAAUUUCAAAUUUCAAUGAAAAAUUCAAGCAUUUCCCUAAUUCUGCCUGAAUAUUCUCGAUGGCUUCUCCCAAAACCCGUGCUAGUAGUUCUUCCUCCUUCCCUCCACCUUAUAUUUCAGGCGAAGGUGUUGAUACACAUGCCAUUGAGAUUCGAAGCAAACUCCGUUCAUAUUCCAAGAAGAAUUUGAAUGAAAAUAUCCUACAUUUGCACGGGAAUGCUAUCAUUAUGGGUUCUGCCUAGUUUGGGAAAGUUUUUGAGGAAAUGGCCAAACUUUUUAAGGCAGAUGCUGAAGCUCUGUUUUGCUAUUGUAAUCCUUCUCUAAUAUUCCAUUCCUCGGUUAGCAAGAAUCUAAGCAGAUCAUACCAUUCUAAUGAAGUGAGGAAUAGCUCUAUGAAGUGGUCAUAAUAGUUUGGCCGACUCUCUCCAAGGUAUGAAGGCCAUUGGAAGAAAGCUAGCAUAUAUGAUGCUUUGCUUCUGUCUAAGCAUUCAAUUAAUAGAUAUGAGAAUCUCUUUGCUGCUUCUUUAUGUUUUUGGAAUUCUGCUACAAACACUUUUGACUUUCGUGUUAGCCCUAUGCCUCCAACUCUGCUCGAUAUGGCUCAAAUAUUUGGAUUUAGGCCACAUGAAAGGCCUGCUGAUGCAUUUGGAGAUUAUCACAGAAGGAAAAAUGGUGAAAGAGUAGCUAAAACGAAGCCUUGCCAUUCUUGCCAACGGAAUACCACUUUCCAACAAUUAUUGAGGCCAAUGGCCUUUAAUCUCCUGUUAAUUUAAUCGGAGUCUCCUCCAUGCUUCUCUGAUUUCUCUUUUUCAAAAUGUCGAUCAUUAUCCAAUAGAGCUAUCUGUUUGCCCCUGAAAGUGGAUUUUUCAAGCAAAAAUUGUGCCAUUGCCUAAACGUGUGGCAACUCAAUCCUGUUAAAAACACUGGAUUUUGGUAUGUCCUGUAAUUGUGCUUGCAUAAUCCUGCUGAUGAUACUUGAUUCUUGCCCCUACUAUACUGGAUGGAUUUAUUUAGAUGGAUUGGAUAGCCUUGUUAAGGCACUAUCCUUCUUCUAUGGUUUAAUAUCUGCAUUUUUAUGGUUAUCUCUGGCUCAUUCACACCUUAUAUUUACAAUAAACAACAAUUCCAGACAUAACAGUUGCCUUUGAUCUAAUCAAAGUUUCCUUGAUAACCCUCCUAUUUUGACAGGGACCUAUCUCCACAGUUGCCUUUGACUGAGAGCGUUUUUGCAUAUCCAUGAGUUAAAAACGAAGAGCAAAUUUACUGGCCAUACUGGAUUGUGAGAAGUGGCUUUGGAGACACUCUUAGAGAGGUGCAGCCGACAGUGAGAGAGAGAAUGGACUCAAAGAGUAUACUGGUGAUGUAGCUGACAAUGAGUUGGUCUUGUUGGUACCACUGAGCACGGGCAGGAUUGGUUUGGGUAAGAGAGAUGGUGGUGAUUGUGGGUGUUACGGUGGUAGAAGUGGAGGUUUGAGCAGAAGGUUGUUUAUGAGUGCCUUCGAUAAAUUUUCAGAGGUCAUGACCGACUCAAAAGAGUUUGAGUUGGCAGAGCCAAAGGAGGUAGUUGGAGUCAGUAAGCUUGAUAAAAUAAGAACAGUUGGGGUUAGGGAAGGAGAUGGUGGAUUCAGACGAAGCCAUGAGGUGGACCUAAAGGAAACGAUUGGAUCGAAUAAGGGAGAGGGAGGAAACCCUAGGUAAGGCUGAUAUCAUGUAGAGAAUAUAUUUUCUUGUAUUAAACAGAAUACACAAAGUCCCUAUUUAUACUGAUACAGGAAAUCAACUUAGGAUAGGAAAUAAUAUAGACAUGAAUACAAUCCCAUUUACAGCAGGAAAAGCUAAUUGCUAGGAGGAGAUUGUGAAGUUGACUUCCGUGUGUACUAGGAAAGGAAAGCUGCGUUAACAUCUUUCUUUGGCCAAUUUAGAUUUACCAUAUUGACUUGAGUUUUGGGAAAAGGGAUUGUAUCAAUAGUGGGGACCUUCUUUGCUAUUUUCAACUUUCUUGAGGCUAAUGCUUCUUAGACAACAUCCCUUAAAACAACACAGCUAUUGGUAGUGUGAUUCAAAGAAUAUUAUGCCACUUGCAAUACUGUCUUCCCUUCAAUUCUUCUGACUUUGGCAACCUGUGUCUAGGUGGUGUAUCUAUAGCCUUCUGAGAUAACAUUUCAUCAAACAAACCGUCUAACUUUGAUAAAUCAAAAGAAUAAACCUUGUUUGUUGGCUGUUUAUUUGGAAUGAAACCUCCAGUGAAGGGUGGUGGUUUUUGAUCCUUUGGUGCCUUUAGCAAAACUUUACAACUUAUUGUCCCUUUAUUUUAGCCAUUUUUGCCACCACUGCCAUAGUUUCCUCUGGUUCUAGCUCCUUUUCUUAUUCUACCUGCACCAAAUGUAUUGAAGAUGAAGGGGUCUUGUAGUAUGUACAUUUAGAAGCAUUCCUCUUCUGUUGUUAUUCCUUCAAUAAUUCUUCAUAUUUGGUGACCUUAUCCGCCAGUUCUGCUAAGUCUCCAAAUAUUAUUCCAUUGAACCUUUUUCUCAAGGAGAUCCUCAAUGAUGUCUGUCCCAUCUGGAUAAAGUGCCUCUCAUAUAUAGGAAUUCUAAACUUCAUUUUCAGCUUUCUGAACCUAGUAAUAAAGUCAUGAGCUGCCUCAUUCUCACUCAGCUUCAGUACAGUCCUCAGGCUAGAUUCUGUACUAGUAAUCAUGGAAAGCAGUGCUUAGCCUUUUUGCAUAAUACAGUGGAUUAGGAUAAGAAAAAUAGGAUUCCUAUGGAAGAACUUCUUUUGGGGGGGGGGGGGGGGGGGGGGGGGGUUUUCCCUUUGGGUUUCCAAAAAAUUAAAAAAAAUUUUUUUAAGGGCCCCCCUUCUUAGAAAUUUUUGGGAAUUUUUUACUCCGUUAAAAAUUGAGAAACCUUCCAGCAACCUUCUUUUUUUUUUUUNNNNNNNNNNNNNNNNNNNNNNNNNNNNNNNNNNNNNNNNNNNNNNNNNNNNNNNNNNNNNNNNNNNNNNNNNNNNNNNNNNNNNNNNNNNNNNNNNNNNAAAGAAACUUGAAUUUUUCAAUCCAUCUGUUUUUGUUAUCCAAAGCAAAAACAAAAAGUACUUGUUUGCUCUUCCCUUUUCCAUUUACUUGUUGUGUAUUUUCAGACUCCAUUUGAGUGCAGCUAUGAAUUUUAUCAUGUCAAUCAUAAAAUACAGCAUAAAAAAUAUCAAAAAAUGUACAUCAUCAACCAUAGAUUAAACAUGACACAUCUUAUGUUGAAUGGAAAAGGACGCAGUAGGAAUUUACAGAUUUGGCAUCCGAACUCUGAUUGGCGUGUAUGAUACCUUUCUGAAAAGGAAACAAUGCUACGAGUCAAACACACUGCUUUGCUAUGACGUAUGGUGGAUUUUGGGCUUUUGAGGUCGUUUAGGCUUCCAAAACAGCAUUUAAAAGUUGAAAUUUUUGGAUUUUCGUUUUUUUAAUGUUCAUUUAUAUUUGUCUCAGUAUUUUUGUUCGAUUAUAGAAAGGUUGUCAAUUAUUUCAAUUUUCUAUCUAGUCGUAUAUAGAUAUUUCAAAAGAAAAAGUAGUAACAAGCAUAAACCCUAGUAAACAAGCAUAAACCCUAGUAACAAGUAUAAGCCUAAUAACAAGAAAAACACGAUGAAGAAAAAAUCAUGGAAAAAGAAAACCCAACAAGGUAUGGAUCAAAGAAAAAAUAGGGAGCAUACCUUCACAGAUGAAGGAAUGAAGAUGUUCAUCUUCGCAGAUAGAAAAGCUAGGGCAAGAGAAAAACGUAUGAUGAAAUACUUGGGAGGGAGGUUGGAUUAUUUUGGUCUUUGUUAUUUAUAACUCUCCCCUUAAAACCUUCCAAAUAUAUCACCUUUCGAAUACACCUAGAUUUGAUUCAACUUUUUUAUAAUCCUAAUUGAAUACACCCAUAUUUGAAUAGACAUUUUAAAAGUUCAUAUAAGUCCGAAUUGAAUACACCCAGACUUGUAAAACCUCUUUUAAAAUUUUGUAUAAAUCCAAAUUGAAUACACUCGGAUUUUUAAAAUCUUUUUAAACGCUUUAUAAUCCUAAUUGAAAACACUCUAUUGGGAUUGUCAUUGCAGCUGCCAUUGGAUUCUAUCAAGCCUAAAUACAUGAUUAAAUAAACUUACAAAAUUUAGAGAAUCUUUCUAUCUUUGCGUGUCUAUUGAGACCGGUUAAGUGUGAACUACUAGGGACUGAAACAUAUUUGUACUUUUUAUCCUCUAAUUGAUCUUUUCCAUGUUUAAUGUUCUCACUUAGAAUUGAAUUUAGAUGGAUAACCUUUAUUUGGAUAAUAUCCAACCCAUACAAGUGAGACAUUUAGUAUAAAAGUUCCAAUAUUUGAAAUUUCCAAGCAAUCUUGUCCAAUUACUUCUGAUAUAAGCCGUCUUUAACAUUAUAUUGGGCAGAAAAUCAGAAUAUUUGGCCAUCUUCAACUUUGUGAGAUGUUCAAAUUUGGUCUACUUCCAGAUUCUAUUUUUGUAUGAAGCAACAAGCUACAAUUAGAUAAUAACUUACUGAAAAAUGAGACAAUAAAGUGGAUGAGGAAUCAAAAUAUAUCAUUACAUUUUCUCAUGUUUCCUGCAGAAUAAAACAUUUAGAAUUGUACAUGGCUUAAAAGACAAAUCUUCUUGUCAUCCAGUUCAAAAUUGGAGUUAUGAUUUUGGGCUCAAUAGUCUUCGAAUCGAGAGUUCAUGAUAUCGUCAUUCGACUGCUUCACAAAUUUUGUAUCUUCGUGCUCAGCUCACAAGCACUUUGACCAUCAAAGAAGGCUUCCCAGAUUCAUAAGCAACAGAAAAAUGUGCAUAUGAUCAAUCACAGCCUCUACUUCAUCUUGACACGGCGAGUUCUUCUGAUCGAACUGAGGCUGAUUUGGAUAUGAACCAGAUUCACUUCAUUUGCGUUCAUUCAUACACUUAAGCUGCAAGUGAGAUGAAUGAAGGUUUCAUCACUGCAGGGGAUUGUGAUACCACCCAUUGGAUGAUCAUAUCCAAAUUCUUCUUCUGCUUGACUUAGCAAAUCCAAGAACAAAGGCUCAUUCAAGUAUGAUAUUGGAACCACAAAUCGCUUCUUCUGGCUCCCCCCAACAUACACUGCAAAGUAGCCUUUUGGGAUGUCUACGGUGUUUGAAGUAGCAGCCUUGUUUAGACCCUUCUUGGAGUUAACAAUUCCUGGCAAUCGGAAUCCCAUGGUUUUUAUAUUCUCAAGUGGAAAAUUUGAACAAGAAAGAAUUCAGAGGACUUGGGAAACAGAGAAGACUUUGAUGCUUGGCAAGGAGAGAGACUUGAGUUGUUGGUUAUGAACCUGAUCUCUUGUGUAUAUAUAGAUGAAAGAGUAUCGCCUUCUACAUGAAAUGAGUGGUCUCGAGGCGCAGAGAUUUGCCCCAGUGAAGGAUAAUAGCUUGUGAGAAAUCAAAACAUAACAUGGGUUGUCUUCCCACUCACAUAAAUCAUCUCCACAUGCAAUGACAAAACUGUAUCCCUCUGUACAAACAUCAUUCCCCACGUCUUAUUUCAUCGAGUAAUUUGUUGUGGUCUAAAGAUUGCUAAUGUGUUCCUGUCAAGAGACUAUGGACAGAUAUGUCUUAACCCUGUUUUGUACUUCAAAGAAGUCUUUUCUAUCCACAUAUAAAGAGUUUGUAGGUGUCACAAAAAAAAUUGUUGGGCAUCAUGUUCUCCAACAAACGUACAGACGUAAUAACUACCAAGUUCUUGAGAAUGAGAUGGAAAACAGACCAUGUGAUCCCUCAAAUUCUCAUGCCUCUUUCCAAUCCCCACCCAAUUGUCCCCAUUUCAGAUAUUUUCCUCUACACACCCUUUCAUCUAUACGUAGACACACACAUACACACAGAUGAUCCCAUAAACAAUUGAAAUCCUGAGUCUUUACAAACAUGAAAUCUAAUGAGACGUGAUCCUAAAAUGAUUUAGUUUCCUGUUUUAUUUGUAUUUAUUUCAUAGAUUUGCUGUAUAUAUUCCUUAUCUCUCAAGGACUUGAUUCUUGCCUAGAAUAGGAAAUCCUUUGUGUAGACACCAAGCAAAGCAUUGUAUAUAAUUAUCACAUGAUUGUUCAAUGAAAAUCAUCGAGAAUAUUCAAAACCUUUCAUGGUAUCAAGAGCCUGAGACUCACAGUCCUCGAUCCUCAAUUUUCUUGUUCCCUGUCUUUUUUUUUUUUUUGUUGGCACCAUGGCUUCUUCCUCGUCUAUUGAUUUUCCUAGCGUUCAUCAUGUUAUCUCCAUUCGUCUCAAGUGUGAUAAUUAUCUGACGUGGCUUGCUCAAAUUGUUCCUAUCCUUCGCAUCUGCCGCUUGCUCAGCUUUGUUGACGGCACUUCUCUGUGUCCUCCGACCAUUCCUGACCCAAAUGCUAAGGCCGAUGAAUCUACUUUUCUGUCUCUCCUCCCCAACCCAGAGUAUGAUGAUUGGGUCCAGAAAUAUCAGCUUGUUUUCUCUCUCUCAUCAACGGUUCCUUUCACCAUGAAGUUCUCACCACCGUAGCUUCCAAGACCAUCGCUGUGACACUUGGGUAGCCCUUGAAACUCAUUUUGCUUCUCCGAAUCAGAAUCGUCUUCUUCAACUUCACAGUAACUUGCUUUGCACAACCUGUUGUGAAUCUUCCAUCACUGAUUUCCUUGAUCGUAUUAACUCGAUUGACGAUAACUUGGCUCUGGCAGGUGCUUUAGUUGCUGACUCUGAUCUCCUUGUGAUGGUUAUGAACAACGUUUGUCCUCUUUAUGAAAAUACCAUUGCCGCUACUCAAGCUCGUGAGAAACCCAUCAAUAUGCCUGAUCUUGAUGCUCUCCUCUUGUCUGCUGAACGUGGCCUGUAGUUAUCUUAUUCUCUGGUCAUGUAUUCUGGUGCGACAGCUAUGGAAGCUUCCCAUGGUGGUCUCGGUGGCUGUGAUUUUGGCGAUUGUGCUGGGUUUGCUGGUCAUAGUCCCGAUCUUCCCAACUCAUUCUCUCCCUCACGACUAGGUUUUACUUCUGGUCGCGGUUUCCCUGGCGCUUCCUAUGGCGCCUCUAGUCCUGCCUCACAUCAACAACAUUUUGGUAGCAAUAUCGAGCUGAGUGUUCUUGGCCCACCUCCUUCUGGCUCUACUGCUUCCUCUUUUGGGCUUCAUUCUGCCCCUAGGCCUCUUCAAUGUUUCAAUUGUCAUGGUUUUGGCCACAUCGCAGCUGUCUGUCCUUCCAAGACGUUUUCUGUGCCUUCUCCUCUGUCUCGUCUUCAAGACAUAACUGCUCAAUAUCCUUCACAUGGUGGCCAUCAACAGUGGGUUGAUGAUACCGAUGCAAACACUCAUAUUACCAAUGACCUGAGCUUCUUAUCCCUUGCUAAACAGUAUCAUGGUUCUGACAAUGUUGGAGGUGUGCUUGGUGGAACAGGUUCGCCUAUUAAAAAUAUUGGUCACUCUCGUUUCUCUCACCUUAAUUCUUCUUUUCAUCUUAAUGAUAUUGUUCAUUGUCUCGAUGCAUCUCUUCCUCUCUUACCUAUUCAUAAAUUUCCCACUAACAACCAUUGUUUCUUCACUUUUUUUCCUAAUUGUUAUUUUAUCCAGGAUUUGGGGACGAGGAGGACACUUUCUUGGGCAAGAGUAGUAAUGGCCUAUAUCCCUUUUCAUUUACACCGAAUGAGUUUUUUCAAGUUUUGCGUGAUCGUGUUGCUUUACUAGGUGUCUAUGUUGACCGCUCUGUGUGGCACUCUCGCCUUGGUCAUCCUGCUUCGUCUACUUUGCAAUUUUUGUUAUCUCAUAAUAAAUUGCCAUCUUCUGGCUCUGUCUAGUUCUUUUUGUCAGUCAUGUACGUUGGGUAAAAGUGUUAAAUUACCCUUUAGUCCUUUUUAUGUCCUUUCUUCUCCACUGAAACUUAUUCACUCUGAUGUAUGGAGUUCUUCAAAUAAAUCUAUUUCUUAUUUUAAUUAUUAUGUUUUAUAUGUUGAUGAUUUUUGUCGUUAUUCUUGAAUUUUUCCAAUGAAAUUGAAAUCAUAAGUUUUCUCUCACUUCAUUAAAUUUAAGGCUUUGGUUGAAAAUAUGUUUUUCACUACGAUUAAGGCAUUUCAAUCAGAUGGGGGUGGGGAAUACACUAGUCAUCAAUUUAAGAAUUUUUUAUCUCAUCAUGGCAUUCAUCAUCGUCUUUCUUGUCCACAUCAUCCUGAGUAAAAUGGUUUAGCCGAACGUAAGCAUCGUCACAUUGUUGACACCGGGCUCACUCUUUUAGCCAAUGCCUUUAUGCCUCCUUCCUAUUGGGCUGAGGCCAAGCACACCACUGUUUAUUUAAUUUACCGUCUUUCUUCUAAGUUGCUUCAGUAUAAAUCACCCUAUGAAUUAUUGUUUCACAAAGAACAUAAUUAUUCGUUUUUAAAACCUUUUGGGUGUGCAUGUUUUCCUUAUUUACGGCCAUAUAAUAAUAAUAAAUUACAAUUUCGGUCUUCCAAAUGUGUGUUACUUGGUUAUUCUUUGAACCCUCAAGGUUAUCGAUGCUUGGAUCUUGUUUCUAAUCAUGUUUUUUUAUCGCGUCAUGUGUUAUUUGAUGAAGUUUCUUUUCUGUUUAACAAGGCACAUGCUGCUACUACUCCAGACCAUUCUCCGUCAUCAGACCUGCCUGUCAUCCUCUCUGGCCCAAGUUUAUCUUCAUGCAGCCCAUGCCUUCCAGUGUCGUAUUCUCUGCCUAGUCUCCCUUCUUUGGUGCCAAAAUUAGGAAGCGGAGAGUGAGAACUCACACACACGGGUACCAUGGGAGCUUGAACCCAAGACCUCUUGAGAGCACACCAAAAGCCUAGGAAAAUCCACCUAACACCCCAUUAGUCGACAGUAAAUAGUUCAAUUGCAUAAAAAGAAAACAAGAAGACUUAAUGGAUAUGAAAAAUAGUUUUUCCAACAUAUUUCUUCCCUCGUAUAAGUACAUUAAAAAUUGAACAAAUGAGAUUCCAAAUUGGUUGUCGUCAUCUUUUAGAUCCUUUUUCUAUCUCUUCAACCGUUGGGAGGGUUUUUUUAUUUAAAUUAUUUUUUUGUCAAAAAUGAUUGCUAAUUAAUUACAGUUUUACUUUUUCUUUUUUGCUUUUGUAAUGAAUAAAGAGUACAAAUGAAACAUCGUCAAAAUUGCUUGACAAAGUGGGCUGUCGUUUAAAAAAAAUGUAGAUUACAAGUUUAAUGGACAAGCAAUUUGUGAUCUAUAAAGAUGUUGCUUCCUAUUGCUUUCACCAUUAUUUCCACCAAAGUAAAAUUUAUAGCUGAAAGUUAGAUCAGUUUCGUACACAUAGUAGAUCCAAAAUGUUACUACCAAAAAGGCUUCAGUUUUAACUUGCUACACUUUGCCUACCACUGGAAAUAUCCAAUUCGGAGUGCAUGAGGGUAAAAUUGAGUGUCAUUAUUGGUAGUGAAAUACUUUGUGAUUAGGAAAUAUAUCUUGACAAUUUGAUUAUAACAAAUGAAUAGAAAAAAAAUUAGAAAUACCUGCAUAUAUAGUUAUGGAACAGUUAGAGAUUGAAAUUUCAACCGGCCAGCAAGAAAGGAAAAGGGAGAGAAUCCCAAAAACAAUAGAAAUGUGUGGCAUGGGAGGAGCCCCUAUUAUGUCACCUCCUUAGUUUUCAAUUAAGAAAACGUAGUGAAAAUAUGAGAAUCCUUCCCAGCCACACAUCUCCAUUGGCCUCUGGGAGGCCUAUCUCCCAUUUCAAGUCAGCCAAUUCUAAGAGUGUAUUAUGCUCUCAAGAUUUAGAGCCCAUUAUUUAUAGGGAAGCCAAGGGUACAUAAGUUCAAAAAAUAACCUAUAGUGCCCAUGGUUUCCAUAUGGUGAGGAAUCUAUGCGCCAUCGUAGUUGUUUCACCACAUGUUUUGACAAUUUUCGUGAGGAAGCGAAAAGGAAAAUUGGGUUGGUAUUCUUGCAUGCUUCCCACACGUCGUAAAAUAAAUUCUUGAUAUACCUAUUAAACCAUUUCUUUUAUCAGUUCACGUGAUGAACACGAUGAGAGAGAUAAAGAGAAACCGGCCGGUUACAUCUGACACCUAUGAACAGAAAAGAAUCCAAAACCGUGAUAGGUUGGUGAAGGGAAGUGAUGUUUUUGGUUUUCCAAAAUUGGAUUUUGGAUUUUGGGGAUAUUAGUACCAGUUUUUGAGCCACUAAAUAAUUCGAUUGCAUAAUCAAACUUAAAACAAAAGUUACAGGUAUGUUAGAUAUGAAAUAUAAUUCAAUUGCCUUCUACUUGAUUAUGAUCUUCCUCGCUGGACUAUGAAUGCUAUUGGGCUUCUAAUUUGUUGCUCCAAAAACCCAUUUACCGCAACGGGCCAUUCAUCGGGCCUCCAUAAAUUCAGGUCCAAUCAACAUUUAUAUGGAGAUGAAUGCUAGAUUGGAAAAUCCAUGAAAUCUGCAGUAUGUGGUGGUGUAGAGGCUAUAUGCUGUGGUGGGGAUGAAUGGGGAGACAUAUGCAUAUGAAGGAUCACAUGGUUCUGUCUUCCACAUCAUCAAGAAUUUGGCAAUGAUUGAGACUUCAUAUCUGUUGGAUUGUGUUUUAGUUUUAAAUCUGAAGUCCUUGCUAGGACAGGAAGCUAGACAAGUUGCUGACUCUAAUAUAUCUUUAUAACGGUAUGUAAAUAUUUUUGUAGUUUGUCAAAAAUAAAAAAAUCUUGUCAUGCACCUAUCAAUAAUACAUUGAGGUUUUUUUUCCCUCAGAUAAUUUGUUUUUCUAAGGGUUUUCAAAAAUCUAGUUUAUGCAAGCUGGAAUUAUGCAAAUAGACUUUGGCAAGAGAAAAUUAAUGUCAUAGCAUAUUGUCAUGAAACAAAUAUUUGUGUCAGGAGUUGAUUUGCAAGAAUGUGUUUCAUCAAAAUUUGAUAACUUAGGAUCAAUCAAGCAUUAAAAAUGCCACUGAAAUGGGCAUGAUAUUUCCCCAAUCUGUAUGAGGAACCAUGUAAAAAGUUAUAUGGUCAGCAUUUUAGUCAAAUUCUUGUGCAAAUCUGCUACCACUUGUGGGAUUAACUAUAUAACAAGGGCUACAAGAAGAUAAUACUAUAAUGCAAACCAUAAGACAAGAAAGGAUGAGGAUUUCAAAUAGAUUGUAUAUUGCUCCUGGAGAACAACAAAGAAGUUUACAUAGGUUCAAAAGACAGAAUUUGACUGCCUUUGGGUGGGGGAUGAUAUUUGGACCAAUGGUUCUAGGGAGUUCAUAAUAUCAUCACUUGUCUGCUUCAUAAAAGCUCAGCCUAGAAGCAGCUUCAGCAUUUGAGAAGGUUUGCUUUCACCAUAAGAUGUGAGUUGAUUCCAUGGAUGAGCAGUGGUAGCCUCUUCUUCAUCCCAACUCAGCGAGUUCUGAAAUGUGGAUGCUUUGGAUAUGAUCAUAUCCAAAUUCUUUCAUCUUGGCUCAGUGAGCUCUGAAAUGAGGAUGGUUUGGAUAGAUUGGAUGACCGAUUCGUGUACACUCACACACUUAAGCGGGAAGUGAGAUCAAGGAAGGUGUUUUCACUGCAGGGGAUUGUGAUACCUCCCAUGGGAUGAUCAUAUCCGAAUUCUUCUUCAGCUUGACUCAGCAAAUCCAGGAAUAAAGGCUCAUUCAAAUAUGAUAUCGGAAUCACAAACCGCUUCUUCUGGCUCUCCCCAACAUAGACUGCAAAGUUGCCUUUUGGGAUAUCUAAAGUCUUUGAAUCUGCUGUCUGGCUUGAACUAGAUAGAGAUCGAAUGAGACUUCUCUUUGCGUUAACAAUUGCAGGCAACCGGAAACCCAUGAUCUUAUAUAUUCUCAAAGGACAAAAGAAGAGAGGGAAUUCAAAGGACUUGGAUUUGGAAAGCAGAGAAAGCUUUGGUGCUUGAGAAGGUGAAGACUUGAGUUGCUCAUGAUGAACUUG